rnacentral:lncRNA from 1 species
UACAUCUAUAUAAGAGGUGAAUAUGUGAAUGAACGGUUAAACCUUGUAAAAGCUAGAAAUGAAGCCUAUGCAGCUGGAUUACUAGGAAAAAAAUGCUUGUGGAUCUGGUUAUGAUUUUGAUGUUCAUAUCCACUUUGGUGCUGGUGCCUAUAUUUGUGGUGAAGAAACAGCGCUUCUGGAGAGCCUUGAAGGGAAACAGGGGAAGCCAAAGAUUGAAGCCUCCUUUCCCUGCUAAUGCAGGAUUAUAUGGCUGUCCCACCACUGUUACAAAUGUGGAAACGGUGGCUGUUUCUCCCACCAUAUUAAGGCGUGGACCAGAGUGGUUUGCCAGUUUUGGGAGAAAGAACAAUUCAGGGACAAAAUUGUUUUGUAUCUCGGGACAUGUGAACAAGUCUUGCACUGUUGAAGAGGAAAUGAGCAUACCCUUGAAAGAGUUACUAGAGAGGCACUGUGGAGGUGUGACGGGCGGAUGGGACAACUUACUUGCAGUAAUUCCAGGUGGUUCAUCUGUUCCAUUGCUUGCCAAGGAUAUAUGCAAUGAUGUGUUGAUGGAUUUUGAUGCGACCGUUUGACGAAUUGCUUUGCAACAAUUGUGCUUUUUUUUUUUUUUUUUUUUUGGUCAAACGAAUAACUUUGUGCUGCUUCAACUCCAGAAACAUCUGCGAUGCUUGUUUUGUCAUUACCUUUUGAACAGUUAUCCCUUUGUGCUUCAACAGAUCCUAAAGUGCAUUUUUUGUCAAACGAAUUACUUUAACAGACGUCCUUUGUGACGUGCUACGUAAAACGAAGAACGUUUUUUGUUUUUUUUUUUUUUUUGUCAAACGAAUUACUUUGCUGAACUCCGCCGUGUAAGUUUAUCUUACAUUGCCGGUCCCAAGCCCGGAUAAAGGAGGAGGGGGAGGGCGUCAGGUAGUCGACAGCCGACACUCCAUGAUUACGUCGAAUCCUUAUGAAAAUGAAUCCAGAACGAAAUCGCGCUAAAGCUAGGGCGUCACCCGUAAGUGGCGCGCUGUGUGGCCCGAGCACAGUGAUAAGUGAGCAAGGGUCGCUGUAUCUCCAUCGGCACCCGGAUGCAGUGUUAAAUGAGCAAGGGGCUAUAGAAACUUCUUUUCGAACGACUCCACUCAAAGUUGUUUGGGAGCAUAUGCUCCUAUCAACUUUACACGGGACACACAAAAGAAGUACUUUGAUCCUAUUAGACGGGGAAUGGUGAAGAAGUUAGGACAGAAGGGUAGAGUUCAAGAGAGCAAAAUGCGUUUAGGAACGUGGAAUAUAGGAACCCUGACGGGAAAAUCUAUGGAAGUAGUAGAAGUUAUGGUGAGGAGAAGGAUAAAUAUUAUGUGCCUACAAGAAACUAAGUGGGUUGGGCGUAAGGCAAAGGAUCUAGAAAACUCAGGGUUUAAACUAUGGUAUUCGGGCACAAAUAGAACGAGAAACGGUGUUGGCAUCAUCGUGGACAAGACCUUGACACAAGAUGUUGUAGAUGUCAAGAGGGUAGGAGAUAGAAUCAUGGCAAUCAAGAUUGUAAUAGGACAAGAACUUAUCAAUGUGAUUAGUGCGUACACACCUCAAGUAGGGUUGGAUACGAGUUCGAAUGAGAAAUUUUGGGAAGACCUUGGAGACUUGGUGCAAGAAAUUGCUCAGACGGAGAAGUUAUUUAUAGGAGGAGAUUUAAAUGGACACGUGGGCAGGGAGACAGGCAACUAUGGAGGUUUUCAUGGUGGCCAUGGUUUUGGGGAGAGAAACGAGGAUGGGGAAGCUAUCUUGGAUUUUGCAAUGACAUAUGAUCUCUUCUUAGCCAACACCUUCUUUAAGAAGAGAGAAGAACACGUGAUCACCUACAAGAGUGGGUCGUCAAAAACACAAAUAGAUUUUCUUCUAAUGAGGAAAGGGGAUCGUAUAACUUGUAAGGAUUGCAAAGUUAUACCAGGAAAGAGCGUGGCUAAUCAACAUCGCUUGUUGGUGAUGGAUGUACAUAUCAAAAGAGGGAGAAAAAAGAACAAGACUUGAACGUGCCCAAGGACUAGAUGGUGGAAUCUAAAAGAAGAAAAACAAGCCAUUUUCAAAGAGAAAGUAAUCACCGAGUGUGUGUGGGAUAGAGAGGGGGAAGCUAACCAAAUGUGGGAUUCCAUGGCUAGUUGUAUCCGAAAAGUAGCAAAAGAGGUAUUAGGAGAGUCUAAGGGCUUUGCCCCACACCAAAAGGAAUCUUGGUGGUGGAAUGAGGAGGUACAAACAAAGGUGAAGGCUAAGAAGGAAUGUUGUAAAGCCUUAUACAAGGAUAGGACCGAUGAAAAUGGUGAAAGGUAUAGAAAAGCGAAGCAAGAGGCGAAGAAAGCUGUGAGAGAAGCUAAGUUAGCGGCUUAUGACAAUAUGUAUAAACGACUAGAUACCAAAGAAUGAGAGUUGGAUAUCUAUAAACUAGCUAGAGUAAGGGAAAAGAAGACAAGGGACCUAAACCAAGUGAGGUGCAUCAAGGAUGAGGAUGGAAAGGUUCUUGCUACAGAGAACGCGGUUAAAGACAGAUGGAAAGGUUAUUUUCAUAAUCUUUCCAAUGAAGGACAUGAAAGGAGUGCUUCUUUAGGGGAGUUGAGUAACUCAUAAGAGUGUAUAAACUACUCUUUUUAUCGUAGAAUCCGGAAGGAAGAAGUGGUUGUAGCUUUGAAGAAGAUGAAGCAUAGAAAAGCAGUAGGCCCAGACGAUAUACCAAUCGAAGUGUGGAAAGUUUUGGGAGAGACAGGUAUAACAUGGCUCACUGACCUUUUCAAUAGGAUUUUGAAAACGAAGAAGAUGCCAAAUGAGUGGCGAACGAGCACUUUGGUGCCUAUCUACAAGAAUAAGGGCGAUGUACAAAAUUGCAUGAACUAUAGGGGUAUUAAGCUAAUGAGUCAUACAAUGAAGCUCUGGGAGAGAGUCAUUGAGCAUAGAUUGAGGCAAGAGACACGGGUUUCGGACAACCAAUUCGGGUUCAUGCCAGGACGCUCAACCAUGGAAGCAAUCUAUCUCUUACGAAGAUUGAUGGAAAGAUAUAGAGAUGGGAAAAAGGAUUUACACAUGGUCUUUAUAGAUUUGGAAAAAGCGUAUGAUAGGGUCCCAAGAGACAUUCUUUGGAGGAUUUUAGAGAAGAAAGGAGUACGAGUAGCAUAUAUCCAAGCUAUACAGGAUAUGUAUGAAGGAGCAAAGACUGCCGGAAGAACUCAUGAAGGACAAACCGAAAGCUUUCCCAUAACUGUAGGAUUACAUCAAGGCUCAUCCUUAAGUCCUUACCUUUUUGCGUUGGUAAUGGAUGAGUUAACAGGACAUAUUCAAGAUGAUAUUCCUUGGUGUAUGCUUUUCGCAGACGAUAUAGUGUUGAUAGAUGAAACUCAGGAAGGGGUAAAUGCAAAGCUUAACCUUUGGAAAGAAGUGUUGGAAUCUAAAGGUCUUCGCCUAAGCGGAUUAAAGACAUAAUAUAUGGAGUGCAAGUUCAGUGCAAAUGGAGGCCAAAACGAGUUAGGGGUGAGGAUCGGAGAUCAAGAAAUACCAAAGAGCGACCGUUUUCGUUACCUAGGAUCUAUCUAUCUUGCAAAAGAACAGAGAAUUAGAUGGAGAUCUCAACCAUAGAAUACAAGCUGGAUGGAUGAAGUGGAAGAGUGCAUCCGGCGUGUUGUGUGACCGCCGUAUGUCACUGAAGCUCAAGGGAAAAUUUUAUAGGACGGCAAUAAGGUCGGCGAUGCUGUAUGGCACAGAAUGUUGGGCGGUGAAGCAUUAACAACACGUACACAAAAUGGGUGUAGCGGAGAUGAGGAUGCUUCGUUGGAUGUGUGGGCACACGAGAAAGGAUAAGAUUAGGAAUGAGGAUAUCCGGGGUAAAGUAGGAGUAGCCGAAAUUGAAAGGAAAGAUGAGAGAAAAUCGGUUACGGUGGUUUGGACAUGUGCAAAGAAGGCCUACUGACGCUCCGAUUAGAAGAUGCGACUAUGGGACAGAGGUUCAGGGCCGAAGGGGUAGAGGAAGACCUAGGAAAACUUUGGAAGAGACCCUAAGAAAAGACUUAGAGUACUUGGAUCUAACGGAGGACAUGACACAGGACAGAACACAAUGGCGUUCUAAGAUUCAUAUAGCCGAUCCCACUCAGUGACUUGGAUUUUCCAAGUCUCCAACCGAGAAGUUUUCCUCACUCGGGAAAUUAAGGGAACACUACCUCAACCUACAUGCUCCACUCAUAAAGCUUCAACAUACAAGCUUCAACAAAAGAAAAUUCAAAGAACUUAGCGAAGAAGGCUUUGGUGUAUUUAACACAAUACGUUGAAAUGAAGGAAAGCUUAUUUAUUGAUAUCCCCGAUAAGUUACAAAUAUGUACAUAUACUUGAGUCAAAAUAAACAAACAAGAGGGAGCCUUCACAAAGGUUGCUUAGGAGAAGUCUCAGCAGUCGGUAGAGCCCCAGAAAGAGAAGGCACCGGAGGGGGAUCAUUCGGAGCCUCAGUACUGGACAGAACCCUAGAAGGAUGAGGCAUCAGAGGUUGAUCAUUUGGAGCUUCAUUACGCGGUACAGCCCCAGAAGACGAAGGCAAUAAAUGCCUUUGGAACAAACCCACAAAUCUCUGAUGAUCAAGUAAAACCUGACCAUCAGAUUCCUUCAUCUGGUCAAGCUUCCUCUUCAUGUUUGUAGCAUAGUCAUGUGCGAGCCGGUGCAACUGUUUAUUCUCAUGCUUGAGCCCUCUAAUCUCCUGUUUGAGACUCAUCACUUCAGCCGCCAAUGAUUCAACUUGGCGGGUUCGAGCAAAUAGGCGUUGGGCCAUAUUAGACACAGAACCUGCACACUGAACACUGAGAGCCAGAGAAUCCUUAACAGCCAACUCAUCAGACCGUUUGGAAAGUAGUCUGUUAUCUUUGGGAGUGAGAAGGUUCCUGGCCACUACCGCAGCGGUCAUAUCAUUCUUCAUCACGGAAUCCCCAACGGUAAGAGGACCAGUAGGGGAGACGAAGGAUGGGCGCCAUAUGUUGUCUGGAGAAGGCGGGGCUGCCUCUUCAACAAGGUUCAAGUCAAAACGACGGUCGGAGGGGCCAGACAUUUUCAAAGGUGUUGAAGAGAGAAGAGGUCGGACAAAUCAAGAUCUUAGAAGUGCAAGAAUGGAGCUUCUACUGGUGGAUAUUCAAGUGUGUGCUUUGGAACUUAAUGUCAGCCCCUAUAAAAAUCUGCACUCGACGAAGCUUCAGAAAUCGAAGAGGCGCCUGCUCAGAAAUCGAAGAGGCGUUUGCUUUCUCAAAAGCUGGGCUGCUCAGAGACCACGAGGGUCGAUCUCAGAAAUCAAAGAGGCGUUUGCUUUCUCAAAAGCUGGGCUGCUCAAAGACCACGAAGGCCGAUCUCAGAAAUCGAAGAGGCGCUUGCUUUCUCAAAAGCUGGGCUGCUCAGAGACCACGAGGGCCGAUCUCAGAAAUCGAAGAGGCACCUACUUUUCCAGCCUUGUCAGCACCUGUCACACGCACACUCAGCUUUGCGGAAAUUAUGGGCAUUCUGUCGAAGAUUUCUGGCGAAGUAGAAAGCACAUGAAUCGUUACUGUUCAAUCACCCACUUCCCACACGCAACAGUAGCUCAUGGGUACCACAUAUAACUUUGCCAAAGUUCUCUGACAAAGUUGAGACACGUGAAGCUUGCAGCUCCCACUACAUCGCUCUGACCAAGAAGGGUAAAAGAAUAGCAAAGAAACAACACUAACAAAGUUUAGACACAUAAAUUUUGAAGGUCUAGCUACCAUAUUAUUACCCACAAGGGUAAAGGAACAGUACCACUGCUGGAUAAUUGGAAAGUCCCGGUGUGUCAACCUCUGUGCUUCGUGGCAAGGUAGACUAGCAAACAUGCCCAACCUUUACUCACAUUCGAGAAAACACUCCCAACAAGAUUGCUUGCUCCAAAAUCGAAGAGGCACCGCCCUCCGAAUCUCGAGAGCCAGACUCCCAACAUGAUUACUUUCUCAAAAAUCGAAUAGAGGGUAAAGGAACAGUACCACUGCUGGAUAAUUGGAAAGUCCUUGUGUGUCAACCUCUGUGCUUCGUGGCAAGGUAGACUAGCAAACAUGCCUAACCUUUACUCACAUUCGAGAAAACACUCCCAACAAGAUUGCUUGCUCCAAAAUCGAAGAGGCACCGCCCUCCGAAUCUCGAGAGCCAGACUCCUAACAUGAUUACUUUCUCAAAAAUCGAAGAGAGAGUAAAGGAACAGUACCACUGCUGGAUAAUUGGAAAGUCCAUGUGUGUCAACCUCUGUGCUUCGUGGCAAGGUAGACUAGCAAACAUGCCCUCGAGAGCCAGACUCCCAACAUGAUUACUUUCUCAAAAAUCGAAAACACCGCUCUCCGAAUCUCAAGAGCCAGACCCCCAGCAGCAUAGCUUUCUCAAAAAUCGAAGAGGCAUCGUUCUCCGAAUCUCGAGAGCCAGAUCCCCGACAGGAUUGCUUGUUCGAAAACCGAAUAGGCGCCACUUUCCAGAUAUCACAGACCACUUUUUCAAAGUGCUCUGACAGAGUUAAAACUUGUGAAGCUGGCAGCUCCCACUACCGUGCUAUGACCAAGCAGGGUAAAGGAAUAGCAUUAUUACUUGAUGUUAGGGAGACUCCUAUAUAUGUCGACCUCCAUCCCCAACGGACAGGCAGACCUGCAAAAAAUGCUCAACCCUUCCUCUUAUCUGAGAGGGCACUCCCAACGAAGCCUUUCGAAAUAUUCAGCUUUCUUUCCCCCCGAUAAUACCUCUGUAAACAAGCUAUACUAGAGCAAGAAUAUCUCAUAUCAUCAGGGUUAAAAGCAAGAGUAUCCCAUAUCAUGCUUUUUCCCUGUCUUUUCCUUUGGCCUUGUUCUUACCUGCAAGACAAGGAGAAAAGAGAGCAAUCAGUCAGCACUUGGAAUCAAGCUUCCAGCCAGGAACUGACUGCCUGGAACCCCUUACCUGAUUACUUACCUGGCAUUGCUCUCGAGUACUCAUCUUCAACAUCUUAUGCUUCCAGGGAAGAUACCGCAUCUGCCUGAGGAACAGAUAGGGCAAGUGAGAAGGAUACAAGGAAGCAUGUGGAGACAAGCGUAACAGCACACGUGCCGAUACAUCCACUACUCUGUCAAAAGCAAAAGUAUCCCAUAUCAGCAGGGUCGAACGUACUCUAGAUUUGAUGGACUUGUUUUGACCCUCAAAUUCUUCAGUCGGCCUUAUACUCUGGAGGAAACCAGAAAACCCUCCAGCCCAGUUCAAGAAUAAGCAUGUGGAAAGUUACUUCUUCAAAAGCAGAAGUAUCCCAUAUCAUCUCUUCUCAUUUUUCUUCUCUUUAUCCUUCAUGCUGCCUGCAAGAUAGGGAGAAUGUGAACAAUCAGCCGGAGCUCUGAUUGUUUACCUUGUCUGUCACCUCUUUCAGCAGAUCCCCUAGCUCGGCGACUUGGGGGACUCCUACUACAUGGUUUGUAUCGCGCUUGACCAAGCCUGAAACUACAAGUAAGCUUCAAGUGAAAUUGAUACAUUACCUUGUGCAUCUCCACCAGUUACAAGAUACCAUCCCUGGAUGGAAGAAGAGUACUUCCAGAGAAGAUGCCACAUCUACCUAUGAGACAGAUAAGGAAAGUCAAGACGAUACCACACUCCGGUACUUAGAAGUUUCGUGGUUACGAGAUCAUUCUCCCACAAUAUUUCCUAAUGUCAUUUGUACUAAAUCAUUCACUUGUACUCACUAAAGGAGAGCUUGAACCUAUGUACUUGUGUAAACCCUUCACAAUUAGUAAGAACUCCUCUAUUCCGUGGACGUAGCCAAUCUGGGUGAACCACGUACAUCUUGUGUUUGCUUUCCUAUCUCUAUCCAUUUAUAUACUUAUCCACACUAAUGACCGGAGCAAUCUACCGAAGAUCACAAAAAGUGACCGUUUUCGCUACCUAGGAUCUAUCUUGCAAGAGAACGGAGAAUUAGAUGGAGAUCUCAACCAUAGAAUACAAGCUGGAUGGAUGAAGUGUAAGAGUGCAUCCGGCGUGUUGUGUGACCGUCGUAGGCCACUGAAGCUCAAGGGAAAAUUUUAUAAGACGGCAAUAAGGCCAGCGAUGUUGUAUGGCACAGAAUGUUGGGCGGUGAAGCAUCAACACGUACACAAAAUGGGUGUAGCGGAGAUGAGGAUGCUUCGUGGGAUGUAUGGGCACACGAGAAAGGAUAAGAUUGGGAAUGAGGAUAUCCGAGGUAAAGUAGGAGUAGCCAAAAUUGAAGGAAAUAUGAGAGAAAAUCGGUUCCGGUGGUUUGAACAUGUGCAAAGAAGGCCUACUGACGCUCCGGUUCGAAAAUGUGACUACGGGACAGAGGUUCAGGGCCGAAGGGGUAGAGGAAGACCUAGGAAAACUUUGGAAAAGACCUUAAGAAAAGACUUGAGUACUUGGAUCUAACGGAGGACAUGACACAAAACCGAGCGCAAUGGCGUUCUAGGAUUCAUAUAGCCGACCCCACUUAGUGGGAAAAGGCUUUGUUGUUGUUGUUGUUGUAAACGAAUUACUUUGCUGACCGACAUCCCACCGUACUUAUUUAUACUAUUUUCGAUUGAUAAGUUUUCUUUUGCUGAAUUAUUUGUAUUUGUACGCCAUUGUUAAUUAAUAUAAUUUUUAUUAUAAAUGAUUUUUAUAUGUGAAAUUUAAACAGAAAUUAUGAAAUAAUAAUAAUAAUAAUAAAAUAAUAGUUUAAAUUGACAUAUUAUAGGUAAAAAUUAAAAUAUAAAACAGAAAUUAUGAAAAUAAUAUGAUAAAAUAAUAAUUUAAUUUGACAUAUUAGGUGAAAAGUAAAACUUUAAAAGUGUCAAAGUGCCGCAUAAAUUGUCGAAUGAAAUUUUAUGUAUAAAAUUUGACACCUCUUUCAGCGAUGGUUUAGGGUGAUCUUCAAGAAAGUUGUACUACAAACAUACUCUCUACUUUAGUGAGUUAAAAUGGCUAUGACUUAAUAAUUAGCUAAUAAGAAUUAAUUAAUUAUUUAAAAUAAUAUUAAAUCAAUUAGCAUUAUAUAUGGAGAGCAAGAGCUCCUAGAUGAAUUACCAUCCUAGGAGGCGGAUAUAGAGCAUGAUUAGAGUUGACUUUUUUUUAAAUCCUCUCUAAAUUAUUGUUAGGAGCUCAUUUAGGUUUUUCGGACUCAUAUUUCAUGUGCAUUAUCAUUGUACACAAUUAUUUGCAUGUGAUCAAAUAUUCUAGUGAAUGGGUUGGAUUUGUACCCAUGCAUCACAGGUUCGAAUCCCGUGAAUUAUUGUAAUAGUUUCAAACUCAUAGUAGUAAAUUUAAAAUAAAUAAAAAAUGGGUAAAUUGCAUAGUAACCUAUCAGGUUUGAGGUCUAUUACAAUCUUAUAUAACAUCUUCAAAACAUUUCCCUUUCAUACCUCAAGUACUAUUUUAUUUCAAUAUAAUAUAUCCGUUACAUUUUUCAUCCAUUGUUUUGUUAAGUGCUUACGUGGCUGCCACAUUUAUGCCAUGUGCUACCAAAUGUGUGCUACGUGGCAAAAAAAAUUUAAAAACCUGAAUUUUCUCAAAAAAAAACAAAACAAAAAAAGAAGAAAUCCAUUACAUCUGCCGUAACCCCCCCCCCCCCCGCAUCACCCUCUCCUCUCCUACCCGGCAUCACCCCAUUCCACCCCCACCCACGCGCAACACACCUCACUCAGAACCCCCAACCCACCCCCACCCCACCCCCCACCCGGCGACCCAGCGACCCAGCUCACCCAAAACCCAACCCCCACCUUUCUCUCAUCUGCAACCCCACCCACCCUUUUCUCCUCUCUACAACUCGCACUCACCUUUCUUUCCCAUCCGAAUCUGCUCGUCAACGAGUCCAUCGGCUCCGACAACGAGGUAUGCAUUUAAUUUUGUCCUUCAAAUUUUGAAUUAUUUCUUAAAUUUUAUGUGUUAAUAUUACGGAUAAAUAAUAAGGUUGAUUUCUAAUUUCAGUAUUAACCUAAUGCUUAUUUUUAGCUAUGCCCCUGAGACUAUUUUUUACCUCAUUUUGCUCUUUGUAACUCAAAAGUCACCAUUUUACUUCUUGAAACUUAAAAUUCGUUCUACUUUGACUUAUAGAAAUCAAAAGCUCACGCAGCGUAGCGUGGCCUCCUCACGGACUGUAUCCAUCAGCAUCAAGAGCAUUGACAUCAGAACCAUUGUUUAUCAAUGUAUAGACUAAAUCAACUUUCCCGUGUUGUGCUGCAUGACGUGCGUACCAUAAAACUCAACAUGACUAUCGAGUCCCUUUUGUGUUGCAGCAUUCUUAAACAAUAAUCUUUCAAAUUCUUCGCCAUAUUGAUUUGUAUCGAAGAGUUCCAUAGCAGUCUGACCAUGUUUAUUCAGCAGGUUCAUUUCAGCCCCAGCGUCGGUAAGCAAUUUGAAAGUUUCAAGGUAACCACCGUCUACAGCUAUCAUGGCAACUGAGUGUCCCUUUUCAUCCUGCUCAUUGAGAUUAACGUAUGCUCCCUUAAUCAGUUUCUUCAAAGCAUCAACAUCGUUUGCUAGAGUCACAAGCAUUCGAGGAGAAAAUAUUGAAGUAUCGCUUGAUUGAACAGUUUCACCAGAUCGAAUCACGUCUACGACUGCUUGUCUGAAGUUAAGAGCCCAUCUUGCUGAGUCUACAAUGAAGCUUGCACUAUGACCAGUAGCAUUCACCAUGCCAAAAUCAGCACCGUCUGAAGCCAGGAUUUUAAUGCAUUCCUGGUGUUUAUAUCUAGCACAGAUCAUUAGUGCAGUUUCUCCAGAUUCUGUCUGAGAGUUGAUAUUGCACCCGGCACUAAUCAAUAGCAUCACUGUCACCAAACAAAAGUUAUAUGUUCAAGCAAUUAAAACACAGAGAUUUUGGUUAUGGUAACCUUGAUUGUACUUCACACCUAUUUAUGCUGUCCACAAUCAUGUUUUAGGCAAUGUAGACUCAAUUAAAAACAUAAAAACUUAAAAGUGCUUAUGAGCAGAGGUUAUUCCCUACAUAAGGACGAGCCCUAAUUGACACGUAAACCCUUUAUGGAUUUUUCGAUUAAUCAUUGAUUAAAAGUUACCUUGAUGAGAGUGUCAACUAAUCAACAAAGCCUCUGCAGGAAGUGGAAGCAAGAGCAUGCACAACAGACAAUCCUUGUCCAUGCACAACAGCCUGAGGGCAGAUCAUGUCGGAUCCCAUGAGCAUCUCGGAAGACCUAGCCCUGCCCAAGUAGCUUGCCUCCAACAAAGCCUCCUCACAUGCCUGCUGAGACGCGCCCCCAUUGAUGAGCACCUCCAAUAUCUCUAGAGUAAUGUUAGUGAGAUUGAAUUUGUAGACUAAAUUUGCAAUCUAAAUGAUGUGUCAUUAAUAUGAAUGAGCCCCGUUUAUCAACGUCUAAGUAAUAAACCAAUGAUCAAUUUAUCUGUCUUUUAAUUUUUAAAAUUUAGUCUACAAAUUUAAUAUUCAUAUCUCCAAGUGUCUAUCCCUUGCUGCUGUUGUUGCAUAUCAUCGAAAUGCUCGUAAAUGCCGAUUUUGCUCAAUUUCUUGUCAAUUACAACAUACUUUGAUUUCAAACAAAUAACAAUAUUAAUAAUUAAAAUAAUAACAAUCUGGACUAUCAGCAACAGUUUCAACAAGAAUCUUGAUGCAAUUUCACAUCCAUUUUCUCUCAUUCCCCGAGAAACAAACACACUUAUCAUAAAAACGAGAGUUCAGAUUAUUUUUUAAGGACAGUGUCCCAAAAAAAUUAUUUUAAAUUCACUCGAAAAUGUUCGCAAGAGCUUCCUAACAACAAUUGGUGAUAUCAAAGCCUAAAAACUACUUGGCCUACGUGUUGCACAGGCUGAAUAGCUAAUAAGUUAAUUACGUCAUUCGGUUGAAUACUGGGCAUGCCAACUCGUCGGCCGAGCUUAACCGGGAAGUGAAUGAAUGUUGAUGGGGCGUUGGGCACACUAAUGACUUGUAAAUCUUUCGAUUGUGCCCAGGAAAGAAUAUGUCUCGGUCUUCGAGUUCUAGAGUUUAAAGACGACAUUGCUAGUUAUGUGAAGUUCAAUAUCAAAUUCGGCUUUCAGUAUGCUGAAUGUCGUAACCUGAUAACACAUCACUCCCUCUCCCAGAUUUCCACGUUGGCAAUUGGAAACUGUACAACAGUUCCCCAUAUCCUAUUCGAAUUCAAACCCAUCAAACCCCAUUUUAAUUUCUUAAUUUCUCAAUCACUCCCUCUCUCUAUGCUUUUGGGUUUUGUGGUGUUUGGAUUAAUGAGUUUGUGUUUGUUCUUAGAUUAACGCAUAAGAUCUGCGGCAGCAACAACAAUGGAGGCGACAACGCUGCCAGCAACGACGGGGGUGAGAUGAAGAAGGGAGACGAAGGUGAGAUGAAGAAGGAGGAAAGCCCAUCACCGAUUACCGUUUGGUACGUAGACGGGACGAAACGGAACGGGAUGGGACGGGACGGAACAGGAUGGAACGGAUGAUGUAAAUAUUGAAAAAGAUAAGGAGAAAUUUUGUCAUAAAAUAUUAUAAAUUUGUGUUCCACGGAUGUGGAACGGGUCGUUCCAGGGGAAAGAUGUGGAAAGAAAAAUCAGCCAAAUUUCGUCUCAUGGGACAACCUGUUCCACAAUUUUUAGGCGCACCAAACGUGGGACGGAACGGCUCGUCCCGUUCCGUCUCGUCCCGUCCCACGUACCAAACGGUAAGGUUGUCAAAUGCGCCAAAGCUUUUGGAGGUCCAAUAAUAAAUUCUUCAAAACCUUUGCUUAAUUAUUGGAUAAUAAAUUUUCAAGGUUGAUCUACCAGCCAGGUCACUGUCUCUUCUUGUAGAGAGAGAAAAUGGUAGUGAGAGAGAGAGUAAUUUAAGCGGUGGAGGUAUUGGGGUUGUACAGUAGUAGAAGAAGAAGCAGAGAAAAAUGGGGACGCUUCAGACGUGGAAUGGUUACGAUGCUUCUCAGGUACCGUUUGGUACGCAGACGGGACGAGAUGGGACGGGACGGAACAGGACAGGACGGUACAGGACAGAAUAAGACGGAACGGAACAGGACGGAAUUGAUGAUGUAAAUAUUGAAAAAGAUAAGGAGAAAUUUUGUCAUAAAAUGUUAUAAAUUUGUGUUCCACGAAUGUGGAAUGGAUCGUUCCAGGAGGAAGAGGCGGAACGAAAAAUUAGCCAAAUUUCAUUCUAUGGGACAACCCGUUCCACAGAUUUUAAGCGCACCAAACAUGGGACGGAACGGUUCGUCCCUUUCCAUCCCGUCCCGUCCCGUUCCACGUACCAAACGGUACCUCAAGGACUCCAAAAGUCGGCCUUGCCCACGUCAAAAGCGAUUUACGCGGUACCAAUUCCUUUUCCUUUUGUUUAAUCUCCGUUGAUUUAACUAAUUAGAAGAAAACAAUAAAGAUUAGAUUUUGGUAAUCCGAAGGAAUUGGAUUUUGAUUUUUGGAUUUAAGUUUGUUUUCUAAGAAUAGGAUUUGGAUGUUGCGAUAGUCAAAGCCACCAACCACGUCGACUGUCGAGUGCCCGCCCAAAGAGAGACAUCUCAGAAGUCAGUUUUCUAAAUUUUCAAAAUUUUCAGAUUCGUUGUUUUAUCCAAUGGGUGGUUCAACUUUGAUCCAAAGAUGUGAGUUUUACAUUUGGGGUGUUUUGUUUGAUGCAGAGAUGUUGCUUAUUGCAUUCAUGCUUUUUUCAAGAAGAUUAAGCAAGAUGUUAACUACACUGGGGAAAAUUAAAGAACAAUAAAGAAUUGAGAAAGAUGAACAACCAGAGAGAAGUUUAGAGAGAAAUAAUGCUCUAUAUUUCUAUAAAUAUGACUGGCCAUAUUGCAUUUGUGAGUUGCAAUUCCUAACAUAUAUAUUGAAUACAGUAGAAGCUUACUUGUAAUUAAUUAAUCAACUAACAAAUCUUUAACAGCCAAACAAAUAUUCUAACAACUUUGACUGACGUGACAAUGAUUAUAUGAUAGCCAAUGAUUAUAAGACAUAUGUCUUCACAAGACCCCUAAUUGGACGGUAUGCCGUUCUUGCCCAUUCCAUUGCAAAUUUGCAAUGCCAUCCCUUUUAAUUUUGAGAUUGUACUGGAUGGUUAUUGGACUUACUAUGUAUCUAUUUCCUUUGAAUUUCAAGUGGGGUUUGCUUAAUAUCGGGGAGCAUUUUUGUUCACCAUCGUAGACUAUGGUGUACGCUUACCAUACACCUAAUCAUCUGCCAUGUAUCAUUUUUCUUAACUACUAUUAAUUUUUUUUCAAAAUUGAAAAAGUUACAUUUAAUGCGAUAGUUAACUACAGUUAGAUAAAAUGACACAUGGGUGAGCAAAAAUGCUCCCUUAAUAUCGUUGUUUACCAUGCCCUACUAUAUUAUUUGAGUUUGCUUGGAAAUAUACUUGGUCAAGUACAAAUGUAAAACCAAUAAACAUUGUACGUUGGGCAUCUCAUAAUAAAUCAUUAACAAUGCAAAGGUUCAAACUAUUUGUUAACUAAAAACAUUAAAAUAAAUGUCUUUUGACAAGUAUAAACGUAAAAAUUAACAUUAAACAUUGUACGCGUGUAGUGAGCUAUAAUUAUAAAAAUUUCAUACGUCGCGAGUAGCAACCCACUGAAUUUCAAGUGAAGAGAGGCUUUUCACAAAUGUAGAAAAAAAUGGCUGAUAACAAUUACAAACUACUAACCAAAACAUCAUAAUAACAUAUUCAUUGAUAAUAGUGUGUUUGAAAGUGUUUUGAAAAUGACUAAAGACACUUUCAAUGAAAGUAUUUUUAGAACCAAUCUUUAGUUAAAAUGUAAGUGAAAUCCUAAAAAACAACUUGAAGUGCUUAUUGUAAGAAGUACAUAAUUGGUGAUUCUUCUAAAAUUUCACUGGAAUCUAAAACACUUUUCACCAAAAUAAUUUCAAUCAUUUUAAAAGUACUUCCGAACAUGCACAACAUUAAUCGUUACAUGGUAACCUGGUCAUCUAUACUAUUAAAUUUAAUCGAGAUAAUUAAUAAAAAAAAAAUACGAACACUUAAAUAAGAGGCAUGAUAGAGAUGAAUAAUAAAAGGUUAUCAAGAAUAAGAUAGAUUUACAAAUCUCAUUCUUGAAUUAAUUUGAAUUUACAUAUAUGUAUAUAUAUAUAUUGCUUCUAGGUUGCAGUUGCACCGUGAAAGAGAAAGAUCAAGUUAGAUUUUUUUUUUGGGGGCUUUCAAACUAAAAUGGUCUUUGAGAUUUGCAUAACAUAUCACUUUGGUCUCUGAGAUGGAAAAUCAAUAGAAAUUGUCCCUGAGAUUGUCCACCAUCCAUUAUUUUGGUCAUUCCAUUAAAAACUUUGUUACGUGUCUUGGAGCUCUUGGCCGAAAGUUUGGGCAAUUUUCAAAGCUUCGUAAUUCAAUCGUUUCUUAACCAAAUUCGACCCAUAAUAUAUCAAAAUGAAGAUAGGAAAGUGUAGAACAAGAUUAUACCAUUGGAAAGCCCAAUGGUUUCCGAUAAUGGUCAGAAAAUAGCCUGAAAGGUGACUAGUCCGCGGGAAAACUGGAAAACUCGCCAAAAACUGGGUAAACUUUAAACGUUCAUAACUUCUUCAAUACUCAACGAAAUCGAGUGAUUUAAAAAUGAAAAUCAUACUUCUCGAUGAGACAAAGAGAAUGAUACCUUUUUUAUGGCUUAAUAGCUAUGAUUUGGCCGGAAAAAGGCUCAAAAGUGGCUGUAUUGGUCUCGAGCUAGCCAAUUUCGAACCGUUUUCCGGCCAAACCAUGGCAAAUUAGCCGUCGAUAAAGGUACCAUUCUUAAGAAUUUUGUAUGCCUUCUUGAUUGGGUAAUAACGUAAUUUUAUAACUAGUUUAUGUCAUUUAAUCUUUCAGCUUUUUGUGGCAUUAUUUACAGCCAGAUUGGCAGUAAUAACUUCACUGGAAGAAUACCUGACUACUUUCGAAGUUGGAAAAACCUCCGGGCUUUGUAAGAGAUCUCUUUUCUUUCACUUUUUAAAUUCUCAACUGAAAUAUUUUCAUGUGUAAUCCUAAACCCAUCAAAUAUGUUGUUUACAGAGAGAUGCAAGCGAGUGAUCUUGAAGGCCCCCUUCCAUCUAGUCUCUCUGCCUUGAAUAAUAUGACAGAUCUGUGAGUCCUGCCUUCUAAGCUAUGAGUUAUCUUAAUUUGCAUGAUCUCCUUGCGUCUUUCUAAUUUAGAGAGAAAAAUGGAUUUAUGAAGAUACUUGUAUUCCAACACGUUAUCAUGCUGUAACCUUUUGCAGAAGGAUUAGUGACUUAAGCGGUGAGAGUUCAGCUUUUCCAAACUUAUCAAGCAUGACGGGCAUUAAUAAAUUGUGAGCCAUAUUUUAGGUUUUAUAUAUAUUUCUAUUAGCAUAACGCAUGCAGAUGAAAACUAAUUUUCGAAUAUUGGUUGUUCAAAUUGCAGGAUGUUAAGGAGCUGCAAUAUAACCGGAGAAAUGCCUGAAUAUAUCUCUACCUUGACAAGUCUGACUGUUUUGCAAUUCUUCUAUCUAUUAUUCUCCAUUUUUUCAUGACAUGGUCGUCUUAAUAAUUGGUUUUACACUGUAGCUCUAGAUUAUUACUUGUUUAUACCAUAUUUAGGGCCUCGUAUUUAGACCUCGUAUAAAUACUCGAGAGACUUAAAUGUAAUUAUGUAAUAAAGGAAGGGGCAAAUAUGUAAUUAGGAGAGGAGCCCUUAUUCUAUAAAAGGGCCUCCUCACCCUCACAAACCCUAAGUCUCUCCUAUCUAGAGCAAAGCUCUCACAUUCUCUCCCUCACAAAUACUCUCACAUAAAUACAAUCAGUGUGGACGUAGCCCAAACCUUGGGGUGAACCACGAUACAUCUUGUGUCAUUUACAUUUCUUGCAGAUUCACGGUCGGAUUUACGUUGUUCCAAGACCUCCGGUUUUGUGCAUCAACAUUUGACGCCGUCUGUGGGAAUCGACACAAAGCUAUGUCGGUUCUCUUUCAUUUUUUUCAUCACCGCCAUGAAUCUGCAGAAACCAAGAACCCAAAUCUUUCCCAGAAAAUCCCCACAAACAACAAGCCACCAUGUUAUCUCCUCUCUUUUUCUCUCUCUAUUUGUUUCUGUAUCCUCAUAUAGAGAUCUGAUAAAUAGUGUUUGGUGGUGUAAAGAUACAAAUCGAACGGUCCAGAUCAACCCCAAACUUCUUCACCUCCAUGUGUUUCUGAAGCACCAGAUAUCAACCCCAACCUUCUUCGUCCGACAAACUUAAAAAGCGGCAAAGCUUCAUCCCAGGGUCGCUGAUCGACCUAGCCCGAUCGCGGGGCAUCGAUCUCGUUCGAAUCGACACUGAGCACUCGCUGGCAGAUUGGGAAGCGUUCAAACCUGACGAAGAUGAUGAAUGGGUCAGGCCAUGGACCAGGUCUGCACUCUCGGGUCAUAGAUCGGGUCAUGAACCGGGUCAACGACGCCCGCCUGGAGAAAGCUCUGGCCGUCUGCGAGGACCUGUUUGAGGACACGAUCGAUCAGCUCAACAAUUCGCCGACCUCCGCCGGCAGCACUACAAGAAGCUUCAGUCACCAAAAGAUUGGGUGCGCAGAGAGAUUUUGUAUGUAUGUAAGCCACCCGUUGGUCCAUCCAGAAAAGGCCCCACCCACGACUAAAGCGACAGCCCAGAACGCUCUCAAAGUGAGAAUGAAUGACGUCCAAGGCAUGCCUGGCACCCUCAGUGGGCUCGCCCUGCAUCUCUGCCACCACAACUCUCACGACCCGUUUGCAUUUCUCGGGUCUGAUGGGUUAAGACCUUCUCGAAAUGAUGUUGUCGAGACUACCAACAUCUGCCUUCUUCCACCUUACUUCAAUGUGCAAAAGAUGGAAAUCAGGUGCAUCUUCUCCUAGUUUUAAGCUUGCCUGCUCUCAGAUCCCAUUUCGGGAUCCAUGGUUUUUUAGAGUGUGAGAAAGCUGUAGUUAGUCAUCCUGAACCCCACGAUCUGAACUACCACCUACUACGCCGUCCGCCAUGGGGCCCACGCCAUCCUCACUCUCCUCUUCCUUGCUGAGAUCACGAGCGGCUGCCAGAACGCCUGGACCCUUACCUGGUUUCGAAGGGCCGGUUCGCCUACCGCAAACAAGGUAUACGAAUUUUGUCCCCUAAAUUCUAUGUUUUUUUACAGUGGGUUUAAAGGGAUCUUGGGGCCGGUGUUCAAGGGUAGGUGGUUAGCUUCCCACAAAAAUGUCAGAAAAUAUCGUAAAAGUGUCAUUGUUCCCAGCAUGUUUCCAUCUGAAAAAAAGCUUUACAGAACAAAUGGACGCAAAUGAUAGUAUGGAAGUGGGAGAAAAGCAUGAGAAUGGUGGAAAUGUUAAAGAUGCAUUGCAGUCAACUGAUGAUCCUGCAACUGUAGCCAAUGAACAAUAGGAGGAAGUUUCUGAUUUUCCAUUAGAACGCUGCAUGAGGAUAGUCCCACAUGAUCAAAACAGAGGAGCUUUCUUUAUUGCUGUCUUCCACAAACAUUCUGCUUUGCCAGGAGCGAAGCAGCAAUUUCUCGAGGCAUUCAUCAACAAGAAAAGCAGAAAGCAGCUGUCACUUUGGCUGCAAUUAUUACCACGGAAAUAUCAGUGUUAAAACCAACUGGAGUCAUAAAAGCUAUGGAUACCAAGCAGCUGUCAUUUUAGAGAAAAGCAAGAAAAGCAAUGGCAAUUAAAAGGUUAAAGUCAAAUGGUCUCCAAGGCCAUAGAACAUGGGUGGACAGAGAAGGAGCAGAAAGAGAAAGCAAAAGCAAAAGAUUAUUCCCUUGUCUAUCAUCUGCCAAAAGAAAGAAAAAUAAAGAGAAAGCAAAAGGGCAGCAGAAAAACAGUGCAAAAGCAAGGAAUAAACACCCCACCCGAAUGAUGUAAUUUAUUUUUAUUAUCUUUCGGAGACAUCUGUAUAAACCCCAUCAGAGGGUAAUAUGUAUAAACCCCAUCAGAAAGUAAAAAAAAAAAAAAAAAAAAGCCCAAAAUAAAUGGGCUGGAAUGUUGUGUAGAGAGCGAAGGCCCAUAAGCCUAAAAUAGCACCAACCAGGUCAUCAAAAGUACACCCAAUACUCCACAAUUAUUCAGCAACUCGCCGCUAUUACCACUAACCAGGAGACCAAAAGUACGCCCAGUACUCCAAAAUUAUUCAGCAACCCGCCGCUAUUACCACCAACCAGGUGAUGAAAUGUACAACCCCUACUCUAAUAUCAUUUGGCAACUAGCCAUUCAUGCCACCAACCAGGUGAUGAGAUGUACAACCCAUACUAUAAUUUGGCAACUAGCCAUUCAUGGCACCAACUAGGUGAUGAAAUGUACAACAUGUACUCUCCUUCAUGCCACCACUAGGUGAUCAAAAGUACGACCAGUACUCCAAAUUAUACAUGAGCAUUACUCAUGUUAUUCAUACAUAAACAUUCAUGAGUAUCACUCAUGACAAUCAUACAUAAACAUUCAUGACCAUCAUUCAUGUCAACAUUCAUGAGCAUCACUCAUGUUAACAUUCAUGAGUAUCACUCAUGACAACAUCCAUGAGCAUCACUCAUGUCAAUCAACAUAAACAUUCAUGAGCAUCAUUUACAAAAGCUCCAACAGCUUCAAACGCUUCAUUUACAAAAGCUCCAACCUCGAAAGCUUCAUUUACAAAAGCUCCAGCUUCAAAGCUUCACUUGCAAAGCUUCACCUACAAAGCUUCAGUGCAGGGUAUACAAAUACCGUCUCCAAACAACCGCCACUUCGGCCCAUACAUAGAUUCAAUUUGAAGUCUCCAGCCAACAGACUCUAUUGACCGAAGACUUGGUGGACUACAUUAUGUACCAUAUAUUGGGCCUUAACUGGGCCUCAUGAAAAAUACUCGGGGGACUUAGCCCAUUACUUAUGUAUUGAGGAGCGAACCCUUAUUCUAUAAAAGGGACUCCCUCAGUUUCAUUAGAGAGCACCCAUUAUUCAUGUACUGAGAAGCGAGCCCUUAUUUUAUAAAAGGGACUCCCUCACCACCAUUAGAAAGCAUCGCCGCCUACUAAGCAACCGCCUCGUCGCGAGCAUCAACUUAGCCCAUUACUUAUGUAUUGAAGAGCGAACCCUUAUUCUAUAAAAGGGACUCCCUCACUUUCAUUAGAGAGCACCCAUUAUUCAUGUACUGAGGAGCAAGCCCUUAUUUUAUAAAAGGGACUACCUCACCACCAUUAGAGAGCAUCGCCGCCUACUGAGCAACCGCCUCGUCGCGAGCAUCAACUCUAGCCCAUCAUUUAUGUAUUGAGGAACGAGCCCUUAUUCUAUAAAAGUGACUCCCACACCAUCAUUAGAGAGCAUCAACUCUAGCCCAUCAUUCAUGUAUUGAGGAGCGAGCCCUUAUUCUAUAAAAGGGACUCUCCCACCUUCAAACGCCGCAAGCCGAGCCAACCAAGGCAACAUAAGCCACGAGCCGAGCAGCCUCGCAGCGUGUGCUACUUCUAGUUGAGCAUCAUUUCAGAUUGAGCACUACCUUAUAUCGAGCAUCAGUUCAAGAUAGCAUCUAGUUACUUCGGCCCACACAUGGACUGAAUUUCAAGUCUCCAGCCAAAAGACUCUAUUGACUGAAGACUUGGGGGACUACUGUUUAUACCAUAUUUAGGGCCUCAUAUUUAGACCUCGUAUAAAUAUUCAGGGGACUUAAAUGUAAUUAUGUAAUAAAGGAAGGGGCAAAUAUGUAAUUAGGGGAGGAGCCCUUAUUCAAUAAAAGGGCCUCCUCACCCUCACAAACCCUAAGUCUCUCCUAUCUAGAGCAAAGCUCUCACAUUCUCUCCCUCACAAAUACUCUCACAUAAAUACAAUCAGUGUGGACGUAGCCCAAACCUUGGGGUGAACCACGAUACAUCUUAUGUCAUUUACAUUUCUUGCAGAUUCACGGUCGGAUUUACGUUGUUCCAAGACCUCCGAUUUUGUGCAUCAACAUUACUAAUAUUGUAUAACAAACUGGUAACACUAUGAGCAGUUUGACCUUACACUUUGAGAUUUGUGGACUUAAAAUGUUUGCUUGACCUUACACAUAAUAAGCUUUAAAACAUGUAACUUUCAGUUAAGCAGCACAUUCUAAAUUUGUCCAAAACAUGAUGGUGAAUUUGGUGUUCAGACAGUGUUCUAUUUAUUAUUCACACUAACAGACUACGUACUGGUUGAUUCAUUUAUGUUUUUAAGAUUUGCUUAAUUUACUUCUGAUUAUUUGUAUACAUAUUCAUUUGCAGAGAUCUUAGCUUCAACAGACUGGAAGGGAGUAUUCCAAAUUUUGCAGAUAUUAAGGAAUUGGCCACAAUGUAAGGAAUAUAACUCAUAAGGGUAGCUAACACACAUGAUGAUGCAUGGAGGCAUUUCCGGCCAAACCACGGCAAAUUAGCCAUCAAAAAAGAUACCACUCUCUUCAUCUCGUUGAGAAGUAUGAUUUUCAUUUUUGAAUCACUUGAUUUCGUUGAGUAAUGAAAAAGUUAUGAAUGUUUAAAGUUUACCUAGUUUCCGGCUAGUUUCCAUUUUUCCCGUGGACCAGUCACCUUUCAGGCUAUUUUCUGGCCAUCUCCGGCAUCCAUUAGGCUUCCAAAUAUGUAUAAUCUUGUUCUACACUUUCCUAUGUUCAUUUUGAUAUAUUAUGGGUAAAAUUUGAUUAAGAAACGAUUGAGUUACGAAGCUUUGAAAAUUGCCCAAACUUCAGGCCAAGAGCUCUGGGACACUUAACAAAGUUUUUAACGGAAUGACCAAAAUAAUGGAUGGUAGACAAUGUCAGGGACCAUUCUAUUGAUUUCUAAUCUCAGGGACCAAAGUGAUGUGUUAUGCAAAUCUCAUGGACCAUUUUGACUAUAAAGCCUUUUUUUUCUAACUUGAAAGUGAAGAUUUAAUGUUAAAGUUUUUUUUGUAUCACAUGGUAUGUGAGAAAUGAAAUACUAAAAUUAGGGAAUCUUAAUUAAACACUUUGGUACUGUUCACUUUUAACGAAAAAAUAUUUUUAUCUUAAAAAGUCACUCUUGGUACUAUUUAUUUAUACAUUUAUUUUGUCAUUUUCGUUAAAACUAAAAAUUUUUGAAGAUUUUUCGUUAGUUUUCCUUUAUAAUUAGUGGUUGUUUUGGGGAAUGGUGGUUGAUGUAAUGAUACAUGGAAGUUGUCUUAUUGGUCAAUACAAUAACCAUUCUGGAUUCCUCGUGAAGGUUUUUUAUCACAUGGUCAUGUGAAAUUAGUGGAGGAGGGGGACUGAUGUGAUCAUACAUUCAUAAGUGGGGGAGGGGGAGUGAUGUGAUCAUAUAUUCAUGAUUUAACGUGAAUUCAGUUUUUUUUUUUUUUUUUUUUUUUUUUUUUUGUAUAUAUUUCGAAUACAUAAAAUAAAGUACAAAAGUCAAUUUUUUUUUUUUUUAAACUCCCAGUUAAGAACAUAAUAGGACGUCUCUAUUGUUUUAUAGAGACAAUAGGGAGACGGUAAGGAUUAGAUCAAAAUCAAAUGUGAAAGGUGGUGUGGUAAAGAAGGAAAGAGAAAAGGAGGGGGCGCGGCAGGGGUUGGAUGUAAUACUAUAACUAUUCUGGAUUCCUGGCUACUGCUUGCAGUUUCGUACUUUCAUGUGAAGGUUUAAUGUUAAAAUCAGUGGGGGGCGAUGUCAUCAUAUCUGGAAGUUGUGCUUCUCAGUCAAUAGGCGCACAACAAUUCUGAAUUCCUGCUAUUGGGUUGCAGUCUGGCAUGCAUGCACGCAUGUGAAAGAAAAACAUCAAGGUAGCCUUUUUCCUUUUAAACAUGCAGCAUGCUUCUGACCCAAUAAAUAAAUAAAUAAAUAAACCCCACUACCCAGUGGUAUAAAACAGACCAUACUACAAACACUUGCACACACCUUCUACCCAGUAGUGUAAAGCAGCCCCCACCCCCUACACCAAUCAACCCCUCCUCACCGCCACCGUCACCGCCACCGCAACUCUCAUUUCUCAUUCUUUCCUUCUGCUCCCAGCUGCCUCUUUUGACCACUACUAUGGCGGACGCUGAAAAUCAAAACCCUCCUUCAAAUCCGCAAGCACAUCUAACCGAGACUCUGACCAUCCUCUUGACCUUAGCUACCAUUCUGAUUGUCGUCGCUGUGAGCCAGUUUGACUUUGUCAAACCUCCCUCCGCCGAUGCGGUUGGUUGCGACUGCAAAUUGAAUGACUGUCCAUGCCUUCCUCCCUUCUACAUUUACUCUGUCAUUUCCACAACAGCGCUGUCUGUUGUUUGGUUUGGACUUUUUGUCCUCACCGCCCAAUUCAAUACCGCUUCGUUAUUUGGGUAGGGCUUGGCUUAGUGUGGGCUAUCUAUUAGCUCGCGAUGAUUUGCAGCCUUGCACCCCAGUUUUAUAAACCUAUGCUUUAUUCCUUUAAUCCUGUUCUGGCAGUCCUACUGUUGCUUAACAUAAGAUUUCGAAGUGUCUCGAACCAUGCAAUGCAUGUCAUAUCUAACAAGCGAGACCGCGUGAUCCAUGUCAUAGCUAACAUCUGCAUUCUGUUUUGGAACUAUGUCACAGGAAACUUCUAAUAUUUGGGUAUUUAAAUUCUGUUCAUACUUUUUUACUUUUUUCUUUAUAAUUUUUUUUUUCGAAAUUACCGUUUCUUGAUUUAUGUGUGUGGGACAUGUUAACCUUUUUAUGAAAAAUUAUUCUAAGACCAUCUUCAAUUUUUAGGUCAAAAUUUAAAAUUUUUAAUCUAGAAAAUUUAAAUUUUGACCCAUAAACAGUUUUUUUGCUCUAAUGAUAUUGAGUAAAAAUUUUAAGCCGAUAUUAUUAAAGAAUUAAUUUAUGCUACUUUUUAUUCAAUAACUUUUUUUUCAAAAUAAAAUUUAUGUAGAUUAUCUUAAUUUAUUUUAUAAACAUUUUAACCUAAAAAUAUUUAAAUUUUGAUAAAAAAAUUCACUAAACGGACCCUAUGAAACAUGUAUUAUACAGUUUUUGGGUGAAUUUUGAUUAAAAUAUUUUUUAAUUUUUUAACCGUUAGAUUUAAUUGUGGGCUUUUAGAUUUUUUUUAACCGUUAGACUGAUCAUAUUCUAUCUCAACUAUUGGAUUUAAUGUUUUUAAAAUUAUCCAAAUUUUAAGUUUUAACCUAAACCUUAUUUUAGACCCAAUCAUUAGAAAAUGAUUGGAUUAAUUUAAAACCUAAAAUUUAAGUUCUAACCUAAAAUACGUAUACAUUAUAUAAUAUAUGAGUCGUUGAUGUCGCUCAAAUACAAAAUACACUAAAAAAUUACAAAUGCUUUAAUUGGCAACAAAAAAAAUUAGACAAGCUACAUCUAAAGAAUGUUCGUUAUGUUACUUCUUUCUUUUGUUUUUGUAUGAGUAUCUUACUUAUAUUUUUUUAAUUAUUUCCAAUGUUAUUUUCAGAUUAGAAGAAAGAUGGAGAGAGAGCUAAGUAUCAGUCCAUUCCUCUUCUUUUGAAUGUAAUAGUCGUCUUUUCCUACUAGCUACGUUUUUUAUAUUUGGAUCUCUCCAUGAAAGAUACUUAUUAUAUUUAUUCGGUGUUGUGUAAUUUAGAAUAUUUUGGAUCUCUUCAUGUAAGACUAGUUAUAUAACUCGUUUGGCAGUACUUUGAAAAUAGCUAAAGAAUUUUUGGUGAAAAUGUUUUUUUGAACAAAUUCAUAGUAAAAAUGCAAGUGAAUCUAAGAAAAGUAUUAAAGCGCUUACUUUACGUGCUUUUAGAAUUCAAAAAUAUUUUCACUAAAAGAACUUCUAGUCAUUUAAAUUGUACUUUCAAACAAGCCCAUAUUUAUUUUGUGGUGUGUGAUUUUAAUAUUUUGGAAUAUAUGAGAUGCUAUAUUUAUUCGGUCAAGUGUGUAAUUUUGUUUUUAAUAUUUAUGUAAGUGUAAUGUUUAUUGAAUAUUUGUGUUAUUGUCAUGCCCUAAUCCCGAGAUACGCCUGAAAUCGACACGUGACGGUAAACUAUAGGGGGAUGCUAGGAAAUACAAACUCAAACACUUAAUUGAAAAUAACAAUAAUCACAUCUUUUUAAGGAAAGUAUAGGAGUAACAUAACACUCCAAGCUCUCUGAACUCUGUCUGCUACCCCAAAACUCCUCGUAUCUACUAAAACUUGCACAAUCGCCCAUACACCAUGGGAAUGGUGCAACGGGCAAACAAUAACCUAGAUAAGCCGCAAAACUCGUGUGAGUGACAAUAAUUCUACGUAUGUGAUACUAUUAAAAACCAACCAUCAAUUCAAUUUAUAAAUGUCAAAUAUAAAAUCAUAUUUUAUGAAAUCAUAAUCAAGUCACUGAAAAUCCCGAAGAAGUCACCCAGACAUCCAACGGCUCAUCUGAAAUCAAACACAAGGUUAUCAAUCAAUAACUCGUACAAUACACCAAAAUGCAGGGCUAAAGCAACACAGUUUGGCUGAAGCCUACAUCUCUGAAGCUAUCUCAAUCUAAACUUAAUCUGAAGAAUCAACAAAGCAAUUAAUCGGGUUCCGAACCUCUCCAUGGAACCAUAAUAUUAAACGGGAUUCCAGGCCACUCAACAGAAUCCAAACCAGGAUACGAUUCCGGAACACUCAAUGGAAUCGCAGAAAAGAAGGGAUUCCGAACCUCUUAACGAAAUCGUGGAGUACAAUGUAUAUCGGACCACUCAACGAAAUCCAAGCUGGAUACGAUUCUAGACCACUCAAUGAAAUCUGAUCACGAGGGAUUCCAGACCACUCAAUAGAAUCCAGACGAAGCAGGGAACCGGACCACUUAACGGAACCCCAGUGGAAAACCAGUUCCGAAUCACUCAACUGAACAGAGCGGAAGGCCAACAACCAUAAUAUACAAUAGCUCAAAGAAACGAGACAAGGCACAAGUUACUCAAUUUACAAAGGCUUAACGAAGUGAAACAAAGCACAAGUACUAAAUUUAGAACGAAUCAACGAAGCGAGAAAUGAAACAAUAUCGAAGCAACAAAUCCCCAUCACAAUGAGUUAACAGUCUACUACUAGCCCUCACAUUUCAUCACAACAUGUCAAUCAUACAAAUCAACCAUAUUUCAAAUAUAUACGUCAAAUCUCAUUUCAUAACACAUAAAUCGAUGACUAAGUAUUAAAAAUAACAAUUCAAUAGAAAAUAUAUUUAUAAAACCAAGUCAUAUCCACACAGGAUAACAAUUAUGAAAACAAGGUAAUCACCAAUAUCACAUAUAUUAAAGUCACUCACUUAGAGCCCGCACUACGAAUCCCUAGCUCAAAUAUCGAGGCGUUUACAUCCGAUCGUCGCCUAAAACAAAUAUCAAAUCUCGUCUUAGAACCCAAGUGAUAAACCACGUAACUUACAUAAAGUACAUCCCCAAGGACAUUCUAGAAUGAUUUGGGACCAGUUGACCAAAAGUCAACAGUUGGUCAAAGGUUAAUAGUCGGGUCUACAACCCUAGCAAUUCAAUUCGAGAUAUCCGCAUAUCUGAUUUCAGAUUCGUAACCUUCUAAGGUCCACAUUACGUUCAUAGAACAACAAACUAAAAUCUCAUAGCGAUCCAACGGUCGAAUCUCCGCCAAUCACAAAUUCAAGUGGCAGUCAUUUAGCCGAUCAACUAUGAAACUACAUUCAAACAUUAAAAUUUCCCUAAACAGAUGUCAAAAAUGGAUUCAGAACGUUGAAAAACCUUGAGAUAGGUCCUGGCCAAAACCCGAAAAAAAAUGAACAAAAGUCAAUGGUCAAUGCAAGGAAUAUCCUUCUUCUUCAACCUCUCCUCCAGUCACCAGAUUCUGCAGAUUUUCUGGCAAUAUUUAGAACUCCAUAUCUCACUCGUUUCUCAACCAAAUUAGUCUAAUAAUAUACCAAAACGAAGCUAGAGAAUUGUAGAACAAUAUUAUAUAUGCUUGAAGCCUGUCCGCGGGAAAUCUGGUAACUCGCCGGAAUUUCUGGGCAAACUUUAAACGUCCAUAACUUUAUCAAUACUCAACAAAAUCGAGUGAUUCAAAAAAGAAAAUCAUAGCUUGGAACGAGGUGAAUAGAUUGGUACCUUUACUGACGGCUAACUCGACGUGGUUUGGUCGAAAAAUGAUAUGGAAGCUUAUGGUUUCGCCGGAAACUGGGCAAACUUUAAAUCGUUAUAACUUUCUCAUUUUUCAACCAAAUCACACUAUCCAAACAUGAAAAUUUAUCUAAUCGACGAGAGGAAUCGAUUUAUACCUGUUUUGAAUUCAAAAGAUGGCUGAAAAAUUAUAUGAAUCACGCUUAUAAGUCUCGACUCUCGGCCCAAAACCUUGUUCUUCGAACUCGUGUUUCGGGUUCAUUUUCAAUGAAACAAAAAUCACAACGGAGUUUAUGGUGGUGAGGGCAAGUAGAUAAAUGUGGUUUUGGUGUUCAACAAGCCAAAAUUUUUGUGGUGGUGGUUUGUUUCACGGGAAGAAAGGGAGAGCCAAGACAGAGUGGGAGAACUCUCGAGAGAAAGAGAGAACGAAAGAGAAAAGGGAGGAGAUAAGAGGGUUUCAUAAAUUUUUGGGUGCCCACGUGGCACUCAGCCAAUGGUUAGACAAAAAUAUCACAUGUCCAAUUAAUUAUCAAUUUAUCAAAAUAUCUUCGACGUUCAAAAUCUCAUAAAAUCUUCGUUAUAAUUCCGAAUCACUUUCCAUUUGCACCCACGCAUUCAUAUCGAUGAGUACUAUCCAAUUAUGUAAAGAUAAGUGGACAAAUACGUAGGGAUCAAAUACGCCGUAAAUAUAAAAGAGUCGAAACUAUGAAUACGAAAUAUGUAAUACAUAAUUUUAAAUAAUGAAAUCUGAGAACGGGAUUUCACAGUUACUGUCGAAAUACAGAAUACAUAAUUUUAAAUUAUGAAAUAUAGAAAUAUUGUUGUAUAAAAAAAUCAUCAAAAAUCGUAACUCUAAUCCCCACACUUAAACGUCCUUGUGUCUUAUUAAAGAAUAAUGCUACACUUACUCAUAUUGAUAUUAUCAUUUUAUCCUCCCUCUCAUAAAAAUUUUAAGAGGGUGUCUAAUAACUAUUUCAUUUUCAAUUUUUUGUUUUUAUACUUCAAAUCUUAUUUGGUAAUUGCUUUCAAUUUUUCAGUUUUUAAAUGAAAAUUGAAAAUAUUUACCAAAUCAGAUUUCAAUUUUUUUUUAAAUGAACUUAAAACUAAAAAUGAAAUGGUUAUCAGACGACUAAUAAGAAUAUUCUUGCCCUUGCCAACUCAAUAAACUUUUUAAACUUUCAAAAUAUUCAAACAAUGGUGGACUGCUUUAGCUCACAAAACUCAACUCCAAUGGGAGCCCAAAGUUUCUCCUUUUCCUUAAAGGGUUGUUUGAUAAUUAUUUCAUUUAGUUUAUGAACACCUGAAAAUUUUGAAAUUUUAUUUGGUAACUACUUUUAGUUUUCAUUUUUAAUAAAAAUAAAACUGAAACAAAAAAAGUUGAAGAAAGAAAUGAAAAACGCAUAUGGGUCACCAUAAAAUUCGUCGAUGUUGUCCUUGUGGUUGGUGGGGAGACUUUCUCAUCAACCAAAUUACAGAGAGACUUACAAGUACGAUUAUCUCUGCAAGAGCUGAGGUGACUUACUCGCUCACUUUGAGAAGAGCUUCAUACUGAGCAGGUUCCAAUUCAUCCUUGUGGCUAUCGGUGAAGGAGAGGAAAUGAGAGGUUGGGGAAAGUGAGAAAGGUCAGAGAAAGAGAGAGAAAGAGAGAACAGGAAAUGCAUUUACCGAGGGAAAUAAAAUGUCCAUAAAUGAAUUAAUUAUUUUAUUAAUAAGAAUAUUAAAUAAAAUAAUGAUUAAAAAGCUAAACUAGCAAAAUUGAAAAAACUAAACAUUAAAUAAAUUUCAAAAAUGUUAGAAUAACAUUUGUUUGUACCAUACUUGACCAAUCCCGAAACUACCGAGCACCGGCCAACGCUAUACUGUCAAGGACCCAGAAGAGUUCCCCUCCGACCAGGAGGCCAAUCACUACUCGACACGUGUCAAGAUUAGAAGCCAAUCAGAGCGCAGCACGUGUCGACAUCAAGAACCAAUCAUAACAUGACACAUGUCAAUGUGACAAAGCUACAAGUUUUUCUAUAAAUAGGGGUCAUUCCCCCACAAUAUUGCCUAAUGCCAUUUGUGUUAAAUCAUUCACAAGAACUCACUAAAUUGAGAGCUUGAUCCUUUGUACUUGUGUAAGCCCUUCACUACUAAUAAGAACUCCUCUACUCCGUGGACGUAGCCAAUCUGGGUGAACCACGUACAUCCUGUGUUUGCUUCUUUGUCUCUAUUCAUUUACGUACUUAUCCUCACUAGUGACCGAAGCAACCAAGCGAAGGUCAUAAAACCUGACACUUUCUGUUGUACCAAAGUCUUCGCUGAUUUUGUGCAUCAACAUUUGGCGCCGUCUGUGGGAAACGACACUUAUUCCUACUCUCUUCAGCUGUGUCAAGCUGGUUUCUAUCAUUCGUACACUUUCUUUUGACCAGGCAUCCCUCUCCAACAUGGGAAGCGAAGGAAGCCACAGCACACAGAAUGACACCCCCCUUGCACAUAGUGCGAAACAACGAAAGAAGGAAGGAAAACGAGUUCUUCUUCAAGCUAAAGUCGAUGAGUUGGAAGCUCAGAACAACAAGAUAGCAAUGAGGAAUGAGGUCCUCCAGGAGCAAUAUGAGAAGCUCUUCGAGACACUCCACGAAGCUAGGCAAGCUCAGACACGCGAGCUUGUUGCCCCCGUGGAAGUCAACCAUCAACUGGGUGCCCUCCAACAUGGAGGGUCACAUGCAUUCGACAUAGAUAUCCCUGAUAGGGAACAGAUUACCCCUCGACUUGAUAAUCAACAUGAGGCUUCUCUUAACCCAGUUGCUUCGACCCGAACCAUGAGAAGUGGAGGGAGACACCUCUUUGCUGAAGGGGCAGAAGGAUCGAAAGCCGUCUUUCGCGAUUGUCGGGAUUUCCUGAAGCAACGUCGAGAGAAUUCCAUCCAUAUAAGCUCAAAGAUUAAUGACCCAAGGAUUUCUGAGAGACUCGGUCCCCUGCCACGGCCCAAGCCGGCCACCAAUUUGGGGAAUGGGCAACAAGUCCUAGAGAGACAUGAGGGUACAGGGGACUCAGAGGUGUUCCGACAGACAUACCCUGGAAGCCAGUACAGCGAGUCCAGGGAAAAAUCACAUGCCCUUGAUCAAACCUUCCUAAUUCCAAGAGGAGAUGGAGAUUUACGAAAGAAAGCUCCAGUGACACAUAACUCCACUCAGGACCCCCUUGUCCUACAACUUCUUGAGGAAGUAAACAAGUUGAAGGCUGAACGUCAGGCUGAAAUACCUGACUGGAACCAACCCAGGCCUGGCCCUCUUACAAGGAGGAUCCUCAACACCCCCCUUCAAGCAAAGACAAAGCAGAAGCUUGGCUUGCAACUUUAUACCGGGAAAGAGGACCCGAUUGAGCACCUUAACCUCUUUGAGUCCACCAUGGCAUACCGGAUGCACACCGACGAAGAGCGAUGUCUUCUCUUCCCCUCCACCCUCUCUGGCGAAGCUCUAAAUUGGUAUUGUCGUCUUACACCUGAGACGGUAGACUCAUUUGAGGAAUUGAGGAAACUAUUUGUUUCCCAACACAUUUUUCCAAACCGAUCGCUUGCACUCUGCAGAUGACCUGUACACUAUCCGCCAGAAGCCAGACGAGUCAUUACGUAUGUAUGCUGGCCGCUUCAGCCAUGAAUACUCCCGGUGUGCCGAGGCAGACGACAAGACUGCCCUCAAAGCCUUCACGGCAGGCCUACGUGAUUGUUUCUUUAAAUACAUGAUCAAUGCCAAUACUUGGAAGACUUACUCUGAGGUGAUGGCGCAGGCUUAUAACCAUGCCUCCGCCGAGGCAAAGACAUAUCAGGAGAAACCCCCUACAACCAUCCUUUAUCAACAAGUGGGAGGUGGAAGCCAGACUCACCUAAAUGAGAAGACCUCGACUUUCCAAACAGCAGUGGCACCUCCCCAUGCCUUGCAUAAUGCUUCACCGAAUCAACAGACAUAUCAAUUUCAAGGCAAGAGGAAGGAUUUCCAUCCUCACCACUCUCAUUCCAGUAAAAAGAGUAAGGGACACUAUCCCGAUAACCAAGGGUAUCGCCACAAUAACGCUCGCCCCCAGGCAGUCAAUGCAGUGGGUCAAACCCGCGUCAAGAUACCCCCUACCCCAAGGUAUGAGACAUACACGCCCUUGAAUGCCACAUGCGCGGCCAUUUACCCCAGCAUAGCUCACCUGAUACCAAAGCCAAAGCCGAGGCACCCAGAUUACACGCCUCCGAAUAACGCGGGCAUGUUUUGUUGCUACCAUGAGCAUAACGGCCAUGAUAGCGAGAAAUGUAUCAUCCUCCGUGAUCGUAUUGAAGCUUUGGCAUGAGAAGGAAAAAUUGAUCAAUUCCUCCUUCACCCUCAAAGGGAUAACCGUAACCAACGCCAGGUGAAUGUCAUAUAUUCCAUAAGCGGCGGCACACCCAUAUCUGAAUCUUCCAAUAGGGCCAUGAAAAACAGUGAACGAAUUCUGAGGCCUAGUCACCAAGUGUUUCACGUGGAAGACAUCAGGGGAGGGAAGUAUCAAAAGCCUAACUGGGAUCCGAUAUGUUUCUACCCUAAGGAAGAAAGAGGCAUCAUCUACCCUCAUAACGACCCAUUGAUCGUGGAGGCUCACAUAGCCAACUUUGAUGUUCGACGAAUCCUCGUAGACACAGGGGCUUCGGUCAAUAUCAUGUUUGCCGAAGCUUUCAGGGCACUCAGUGUAGCUGAACACUUGCUCGAUCGCUCGAUUUCUCCUCUGAUAAGCUUCUCCGGUGAUAUCGUGCAACCCUUAGGGAGCAUACAUUUACCCUUUACUAUUGGUACAGGCCCUUACACGGCUACCAUUACCACUAACUUCCUAGUGGAUGACUGCCCAACGGCAUACAAUGUCAUCUUUGGGCGCACAGGCAUCAAUGAUCUCAAGGCUAUGGUAUCCACGCAUAUGCUGUUGAUGAAAUUUCCAACCCCCCAUGGCAACGGCUACAUCAGAGGAGAUCAGCUUACUGCACGAUCAUGUUACAACACUUCAGUUAAGCAACAACACUUGCCCGGACCCAAGGAAACCCUGUCUGUACAUGACCAAGUCACAAAGACCAGCCUAGAUGAAGCGAACUUGGAUCUUCCUGAUAGCAACAAUCAACCCGAUGAUCCUCGAGAUGACUCUUUCACCCAGCAAGCCCAACCUGCUGAAGAGUUGGAGAAGGUACAUAUCUCAAGAGAUUAUCCAGAUCGCAUGGUGAAGAUUGGCACCACAUUGUCACCACCCCUUCGGUUAGCAUUGAUAUCUUUUUUGAAAGAGAACACUGAAGUCUUCGCCUGGUCAUACGAGGACAUGCCAGGCAUCUCUCCCGAUGUCAUCUGUCAUCGUUUGAGUAUUGACCCCAAGAUCAAGCCGGUGAGACAGAAGCGAAGAUCUUAUGACGCUGAACGAUACGAGGCAAUGAAAGCAGAAGUUGAAAAAACUCAAAGGCAUAGGCUUUGUCCGCGAAGUCAAUUACCCGACAUGGGUAGCAAAUGUGGUCCUUGUUAGGAAAAAUCCGACCAAAGAAAGUCUUUCGCUUCAAAAGGUCUUGUGGAGGAUGUGUGUUGACUACACCGACCUAAACAAAGGGUGUCCGAAAGAUAGUUUCCCUCUUCCUCUUAUUGACAGGCUUAUAGACUCUACGGCAGGGUGUGAGCUCUUGAGCUUUAUGGACGCUUAUUCAGGAUACAACCAAAUCCUCAUGAACCCCUCAGACCAAGAACACACGGCCUUCACUACUGACAGGGGACUAUAUUGCUAUAAAGUCAUGCCUUUCGGCCUAAAGAAUGCAGGAGCAACUUAUCAGAGACUGGUCAAUUCAAUGUUCGCCGAACAAAUUGGGAAGAACAUGGAAGUUUACGUUGAUGAUAUGCUAGUCAAAAGCAAACAUGCUGACCAACACAUCACCAACCUAUCUGAAACUUUCACCAUUCUAAAGAGGUAUCGAAUGAGGUUGAACCCCAACAAAUGUGCCUUCGGCGUGGGCUCUGGCAAAUUCUUAGGCUUCAUGAUUAGCCAACGAGGCAUUGAAGCUAACCCUGAAAAGAUCAAAGCAAUCCUCGACAUGAAAGAGCCAAUAACUUCAAAAGACAUCCAAAGCCUUACAGGCAAGGUGGCAGCCUUAACCAGAUUCAUCUUUAAGGCCACAGACAGAUGUGCUCCUUUCUUCAAAGCACUCAAGGGAAAUAAGAAGUACAUUACAUGGACGGAGGAAUGUACCAAGGCAUUCAGGGACCUCAAAGAGUACAUGAGUAAAGCCCCUCUGCUCUCCAAACCAGAAGUUGGUGACACUCUCAUCAUCUAUCUAUCGGUUUCGGCUUCAGCAGUCAGUUCUGUUCUUAUUCGAAUGGACAGUGGUGUCGAACGGCCCGUCUACUACGCUAGCAAGGCCCUACAAGAUGCGGAGACACGAUACUCCAACAUUGAGAAAUUAGCUCUAGCAUUGGUCAUGUCUGCUCGGAAACUUCGCCCUUAUUUCCAAGCACACGCCAUCAUCGUGCUUACCAAUCACCCUCUUCGACAGAUACUCCAGAGUCCUGACACGUCUGGAUGAAUGAUCAAAUGGGCGAUAGCAUUGGGUGAGUUUGACAUCUCCUACCAACCAAAACCAGCCGAAAAAGGCCAAGCAGUAGCAGAUUUCAUCACCGACUUCACAUAUCCUGUUGACAUUGCUUCUACACCUGAAGCAGUAGCUUCAUUACCAUCGGAAGCUCAGAAAGUAGAAUCAACGACCUCAGCAUGGAGUCUGUAUGUUGAUGGCUCAUCCAACCAACAGGGCUGUGGAGCGGGACUAGUCUUGACUACGCCCGACAAAGUAGCAAUGGAGUAUGCUCUUCAUUUCAAAUUCAAGGCAUCAAACAAUGAGGCUGAGUAUGAAGCCCUUCUAGCAGGAUUACGUUUGGCCAAACACCUCGGGGUUAAACAAAUUGAUAUUUUCAGUGACUCCCAAUUAGUGGUCAACCAGGUUACCAACAACUUUGAUGCUAAGGACAGCUCUAUGGCAGCAUAUCUUGCGCAAACACAACUUUUGCUCAAGCACUUCCACUACCAGAUCACCCAAAUUCCUCGAGCGGCAAACAGUCAUGCAGACGCCCUGGCUCGCCUCGCCUCAGCUGUGGAAGACAAGAUUGGAAGAAAAAUUCAUGUCGAACUGUUGGCAACACCAAGCACCAUGGCCGCAGAAGUAUGCAACUUACAACAGGGGGAUAGUUGGAUCACCCCGAUCUAUAAUUUCCUUGCUCAUGGCACCCUCCCAAAUGAUAAAGUCCAGGCUAAGCAAAUUCGAUACAAGUCUACCCGCUACCUGAUCAUCAAUGAUCAACUCUAUAAGCGAGGUUUUAGCCUGCCAUACUUAAGGUGUCUUACUCCUGCCGAGGCGGAAAUCGUCCUUCGGGAAAUACAUGAAGGAGUCUGUGGAGAUCAUGCUGGAUCUCGGUCCCUAGCACACAAGACUUUUCGCCAAGGAUAUUACUGGCCAACACUCCACCAGGAUGCCAUCAAAGUAUCCCGCUCAUGUGAUAAAUGUCAACGAUAUGCAACUAUUCCUCAUUCCCCUCCAGAGGCUCUUACUCCUAUGAUCAGCCCUUGGCCCUUCGCCCAGUGGGGACUUGAUUUGAUCGGCCCAAUGCCGGCAGGGAAGGGCAAAGUCUGUUACGCAGUCGUUGCAGUGGACUACUUCACAAAGUGGGCCGAAGUAGAACCCUUGGCAACCAUUACUGAGGCAAAGAUAGAAGACUUCGUGUGGAAGAACAUCCUUUGUAGAUUCGGCAUUCCCAAUGCGAUAGUCACUGACAAUGGGCGACAGUUUGACAACAAGAAGUUCAGGUUGUUCUGCUCUAAGUUCAACAUCAACUUAUGCUUUGCCUCUCCAGCUCAUCCCCAGUCUAAUGGACAAGUUGAGGCCAUCAACAAAAUAAUCAAGCGCACUUUGAAAACCAGCUUGGACAAAGCUAAAGGCUGUUGGCCAGAAUUUGUACCCCAAGUUCUUUGGUCAUAUCGCACUUCAUAUCGGACUUCAACAGGAAAAACUCCAUUCUCACUUGCCUUUGGCACAGAGGCGGUUGUCCCUGUUGAGCUCGAGCAAGCAACAUUCCGAGUCCAGAACUACAUUCAAAGUGAAAAUGACAAAACAACUCACCCUCAACUUGGAUUUAGUCGAGGAACACAGAAAACCAAGCUCACUUGAGGAAUGUCGCCUACAAGCAGCGCAUCUCCAACUAUUAUGACUCUAGGGUCAAGCCUCGUUCUUUCAAAAUAGGAGACUGGGUCUUAAAGAAAAGAUUACUCUGCGACAGAGUCCCGAGUGAAGGCAUACUUAGUCCAAACUGGGAUGGACCGUAUGAAGUCAUUGGCAUCAGUCGCCCUGGCUCUUACACACUUAGAAGCUCCGAUGGCAAGACCCUUGGCCAUCCAUGGAACGCUGAUCACUUGAAGUACUACUACAAAUAGACUCACGAUGUACAAGUGUUGAGCUAUAGCCGUUUGGCAUCCUAUGUAAUGAAGGCCAUUUGGCAAUGAAUUCAAUAAAGAGGUAAUUUAGCCAACUCAGCCCUCACUCUUUUACAUUCAUAGCAAGCGAUGCCGGAACCCUUCUCAAUCAGAAAGCCAUCCGUCUUCCACAGUCACUACAAAACAAGCAAAUGAAGACCGUGUCAAGCGCCCAAAAAAAAAAAAAAAAAAAAAAAAAAAAAAAAAAAAACAGCUUCAUCCAAAAAGCUUCACCCGAAAAGCUUCACCUCCAAAGCUUCACCCACAAAGCUUCACCUAAAAAGCUUCACCUCCAAAGCUUCACCCACAAAGCUUCACCUAAAAAGCUUCACCCAAAAAGCUUCACCCGAAAAGCUUCACCUCCAAAACUUCACCCGCAAAGCUUCACCUAAAAAGCUUCACCCAAAAAGCUUCACCCGAAAAGCUUCACUUAAAAAAGCUUCACCUACAAAGCUUCACCUAAAAAAUCUUCACCUAGAAAGCUCCCUCUACAUACUUUCAUCUACAAAGCUUCACCAUCAAAGCUUCACCUCGAAAGCUUCAUCUACAAAGCUUCACCAUCAAAGCUUCACCAUCAAAGCUUCACCUAGAAAGCUUCAUCUACAAAGCUUCAUCUACAAAACUUCACCAUCAAAGCUUCACCCAGAAAGCUUCAUCUACAAAGCUUCACCAUCAAAGCUUCACCUCGAAAGCUUUAUCUACAAAGCUUCAACACCAAAGCUUCACCUACAAAGCUUCAACACAAAACCUUGCUCCAAAUAAACAAAUUUUGUUCACAAAACCCAAGAUGCCCUUGAACUUGUACAAAAACACUUGGGUAAACAUAAACAUUUUUUGUUUUACACCCACAAGGGCCCAAAAUUUUCCUUCUUAUUUAUUCACUUAUAUAUGUUCCCAAACAUAUUAUAAUAGAUCCAACAACAAGCCAAAGUCCCAAGUUUCAUAAUGGACAAAAGUACAAGCAAUUCAUCAAUAAUGAAGGUGCUACAAAAAUUGGAAUCUGCCCCAAAAUAGAAAUCCAACCCAAGAGACUUUUUCUCUCUCUCCCUCUUUCGCCUCCUUUCAUCUAUCAAAUUUCUGCAACCUCUGCUCUUCUCCAAUGGAGCUGAAUUUUGGACACCCUAUAGUUCUUGAGCAUAUGAACAACUUUCAAGAAGGAACCAUUUCUGUUUGAGCGACGGAAAUUAAAGUGUUGAAGCUCCAAACGUGACAGUCGGAUUCUUGCAGAUUUCGAAGCUGCUGUGAUGUUUCGAAGAUCUGGAAAUAUUUAACCAUUAGUUCAUUCUGAAUGUUUGAUAUGUUAUGAAAGAGACGAUGAGGAACAACUUCAAUGAAGAAAGCAUGCCGAUCUGAACAAUAGAAAAUGGAGUUUCAAAGCUCACAACAAAUCUGACGGGUUGACAGAAAAAUAAUAACCAGUCAUUCAUCAUACCUGGAUUUCUGAAGUUGUACUACUCCGAUGGAUCUCAAAUUUGGAUAUGUUGUAGUUCACAAGAUAAGGAAAAACUUUCAUGAAGACGACUUUGCAAUCUGAGCUAUAGAGAAAGGUGUUAUCUUGCAUCCACUCAGGCUAAUUAGUGGAAACGAAAAGCAAUUCCACCAAAGAAAAGAUGAAAAAGAGAGAAAAGCCACUAAUUGCACUUGAUCUUGUCUAGUCAAUAGCAUGCAGCAUCAAACACACAAAAGUUGGAAAUAUUUUUAGAUAAAGCAUAUACGAAUGUGUGACAUCGAAACAAGAAUUCGUUACUUUGACAAAUUAGUAACACGCGAGACACCUCAUUCGGCAACUCUCUUCGCCUGAAGACUUGGGGGACUCCCACCAUAUGCUACUGCACCUUGAUACUCGGCAGUCUCACAACCACUCAGUGACUUGGAUUUUUUCAAGUCUCCAACCGAGAAGUUUUCCUCACUCGGGAAAUUAAGGGAACACUACCUCAAACUACAUGCUUCACUCACAAAGCUUCAACAAUACAGGUUUCAACAAAAGCAAAAAUUCAAAGAACUUUAUGAAGAAGGCUUUGGUGUAUUUAACACAAUAUGUUGAAAUGAAGCAAAGCUUAUUUAUUAAUAUAUUUUCGAUAAGCCACAAAUAUGUACAUAUACAUGAGUCAAAAUAAACAAACAAAAGGGAGCCUUCACAAAGGUUGCUUAGGGGAAGUCUCAGCAGUCGGUAGAGCCCCAGAAAGAGAAAGCACCGGAGGGUGGUUAUCCGGAGCCUCAGUACUUGACAAAACCCCAGAAGGAGGAGGCAUUGGAGGUUCAUCAUUUGAAGCUUCAUUACCAGGUACAGCUCCAGAGGACGAAGGCAAUAAAUGCCUUUGGAACAAACCCACAAACCGCUGAUGAUCAAGUAAAACCUUACCAUCAGAUUCCUUCAUCUGGUCAAGCUUCCUCUUCAUGUUUGUAGCAUAGUCAUGGGCGAGCCGGUGCAACUGCUUAUUCUCAUGCUUGAGCCCUCUAAUCUCCUGUUUGAGACUCAUCACUUCAGCAGCCAAUGAUUCAACUUGGCGGGUUCUAGCAAAUAGGCGUUGGGCCAUAUUAGACACAGAACCUGCACACUGAACACUAAGAGCCAAAGAGUCCUUAACAGCCAACUCAUCAGACCGUUUGGAAAGUAGUCUGUUAUCUUUGGGAGUGAGAAGGUUCCUGGCCACCACUGCAGCGGUCAUAUCAUUCUUCAUCACAGAAUCCCCAACGGUAAGAGGACCAGUAGGGGAUAUGAAGGAUGGGCGCCAUAUGUUGUCUGGAGAAGGCGUGGCUGUCUCUUUUCCAAGGUUCAAGUCAAAACGACGGUCAGAGGGUCCAGACAUUUUCAAAUGUGUUGAAGAGGGAAGAGGUCAGACAAAUCAAGAUCUUAGAAGUGCAAGAAAUGAGCUUCUACUGGUAGAGAUUCAAGUGUGCUGUGGAACUUAAUGUCAGCCUCUAUAAAAUCUGCACUCGACGGAGCUUCAGAAAUCGAAGAGGCGUUUGCUUUCUCAAAAGCUGGACUGCUCAGAGACCACGAGGGCCGAUCUCAGAAAUCGAAGAGGCGUUUGCUUUCUCAAAAGCUGGGCUGCUCAGAGACCACGAGGGCCGAUCUCAGAAAUCGAAGAAGCACCUGCUUUUUCAGCCUCGUCAGCACCUGUCACAUGCACACUCAGCUUUGCGGAAAUUACGGGCAAUCUGUCGAAGAUUUCUGGUGAAGUAGAAAGCACGUGAAUCUUACUGUUCAAUCACCGCUCUCCAUAUGCACCAUCAACUCCUCGGGUACCACAUAUAACUUUAUCAAAGAUCUCUGACAAAGUUUAGGCACGAGAAUUUCGAAGUUCCAGCUACCCUACUAUUACCCAUAAGGGUAAAGGAACAGCACCACUGCUUGACAACUGGAAAGUCCCUAUGUGUGUCGACCUCCGUGUUUUGCGGCAAGACAGGUUGGCAAGAACGUCCAACCUUUACUCACAUUCGAGAAAAGACUCCCAACAUAAUUACUUUUCUCAAAAACCGGAGUAGCACCGCUUUCCGAAUCUCGAGAGUCAGAUCCUCGACGGGAUUGCUUGUUCGAAAACCGAAGAGGCACAACUCUCAGAACUUCGAGAGCCAGAUUUCCUUAGAUAAAGCUUGUCUGUAAUCUUCACACGUAACAUCAGCUUUCCAGAUACCACAUACCACUUUUUCAAAGUGCUCUGACAAAAUUAAAACACGUGAAGCUGGCAGCUCCCACUACAUUGCUGUGACCAAGAAGGGUAAAGAAAUAGCAUUACUACUUGUUAUUGGGAAAUCCCUAUAUACAUUGACCUCCCUCCUCAACGGACAGGCAAACCUGCAAAAAAUGCUCAACCCUUUCUCUCAUUCGAAAAGGCACCCUCAACAUAAACCUCUCGAAAUACUCAGCUUUAUUUCCCCCCGAUAAUACCUCAGCAAAUAAGCCACACCAAGAACAAGAGUAUCUCAUAUCAUCAGGGUCGAAAGCAAGAGUAUCCCAUAUCAUGCUUUCUCCCUAUCUUUGUCUUUGUCCUUGUCCACACCUGCAGGACAAGGAGAAAGAGAGCAGUCAGUCGGAACCUGAAAUCAAACCUCCAAUUUGGAACUGACUGCCUGGAGCCUUUGCUUGGUUGCUUACUUAGCAUUGCUCUCGAGUACUCAUCCUCAACUGCUGUCAAGGUCACGAAUUUCCACCGGCAAAUACCUCAUGACAGUUGAUCAGAUAUUGGCUCUUUACACUGAAGCUGCCAAGCGUGGAUGAGUCACUAUGAAGGAAUGUUCUGAAGGACCAUUUAAAUGCAAAGGUUGCACACCACUUCUGCCAUGCAAAAGAUUGAAGCAGAAGGUUCAACGGUGAGCUGAAACAGAUCACUACAGCACGACACCUUUCCAUACCACAUUCAUUAUUCCGUCAACAGCAAAAGUAUCCCAUAUCAUCAAGGUCGAAUGUACUCUAGAUUUGAUGGACUUGUUUUUGACCCUCAAAUUUUUGAGUCGGCCUUAUACUCUGAAGGGCACCAGAAACCCUCCAGCACAGUUCAAGAAUAAGCCUGUGGAAAGUUACUUCUUCAAAAGCAAAAGUAUCUCAUAUCAUCUCUUAUCCAUUUGUUUCUCCUUAUCCUGGCAGUUGAAUGAGAGACAAGGAGAAGGAGAACAAUCAACCGGAAGCCGAAGUCAAACCUCUGAUCCUGGGUUGCUUACUUGGAAGUUUGACUGCUUACCUUGUCUGUCACCUCUUUCGGCAGAUCUCCUAGCUCGGCGACUUGGGGGACUCCUACUAUAGGGUUUGUAUCACACUUGACUAAGCCCGAAACUACAACUAAGUUUUAAGUGAAAUUGAUACAUUACCUUGUGCGUCAACAUCAGCUAAGUACACCAUUCCCGGAUGGAGGAAAGGUACUUCCAGAGAAGGGCAGAUGAAGAUCAGACCACACUUCGGUACUUAGAAGUUUCGUGAUUACUCAAGGGAUUGGAUCUUGCAAGUCCCCAACCGAGGAGUUUCCCUCACUCGGGAACUUAGGGGAGCACUGUUUGUACCAUACUUGACCAAUCCCGAAACUACCGAGCACCGGCCAACGCUAUACUGUCAAGGACCCAGAAGAGUUCCCCUCCGACCAGGAGGCCAAUCACUACUCGACACGUGUCAAGAUUAGAAGCCAAUCAGAGCGCAGCACGUGUCGACAUCAAGAACCAAUCAUAACAUGACACAUGUCAAUGUGACAAAGCUACAAGUUUUUCUAUAAAUAGGGGUCAUUCCCCCACAAUAUUGCCUAAUGCCAUUUGUGUUAAAUCAUUCACAAGAACUCACUAAAUUGAGAGCUUGAUCCUUUGUACUUGUGUAAGCCCUUCACUACUAAUAAGAACUCCUCUACUCCGUGGACGUAGCCAAUCUGGGUGAACCACGUACAUCCUGUGUUUGCUUCUUUGUCUCUAUUCAUUUACGUACUUAUCCUCACUAGUGACCGAAGCAACCAAGCGAAGGUCAUAAAACCUGACACUUUCUGUUGUACCAAAGUCUUCGCUGAUUUUGUGCAUCAACAACAUUAAAUGAAUUUUAAAUGUAUAAUUAUAAACAUUUUUAUAUACAAAUCAAUUUACAUUCUUUAACAAAUUUAGAAUGAAUCAAAUAUCGUACUAUCUAUGUCUCCUCUAUUGCGAAUGAUACUAUAAGUUACUAGCGAAUCCUGUAACCGAACCAAACUGCGAACUUGAACUAACUAUGGACCAACCAAAUCAUUUCUAAUCAAAUAAAAAUAAAUGAUUUUUGUGUUUGAACAAUGGCUUACAUAAUAUACAUCGUAUACAUUUUCUCGGUAACCAAACACAAUUGAGGAAAGGAAAAUUACGAACCUGAACAAUGGUGUCACAUCCCAGUCUUCACUCCGUCGUAGCACGAUAUUGUCCGUUUUGGGCCCUGGCCACACCCUCACAAUUUUGUUUCUGAGAACUCAGAUGAGAACUUCCCAGUGGGUCACCCAUCCUAGGAUUACCCUUGCCUGAACUUGCUUAACUUCGGAGUUUCGAUGGAACCCGAAGCCAUUGAGUUCCCAAAGGGCCUCGUGCUAUAGGGAGGGGAGCAUGUCCAUAUAAGGCACAUCACCCCCUAUUCGUUGGUCGAUGUGGAAUGUUACAAUCCACCCCUCUUAGGGGCCCGACGUCCUCGUCGGCACACUUGCACCACACGGCAAAGUGGCUCUGAUACCAUUAUGUCACAUCGCAGACCAGCUCCAUCGUAGCACGAUAUUGUCCGCUUUGGGCCCCUUCCACGCCCUCACAGUUUUGUUUCUGGGAACUCAGACGAGAACUUCCUAGUAGAUCACCAUCCUAGGAUUGCCCUUGCCUGAACUCCCUUAACUUUGGAGUUUCGAUAGAACCCAAAGUCAAUGAGUUCCCAAAAGGCCUUGUGCUAUAGGGAGGGGAGCAUGUACAUAUAAGGCACAUCAUCCCCUCUCCGUUGGUCGAUGUGGGAUGUUACAAUGGUUUCUAUUAUGAAACUAAACCAAAAUAACCCAUAAUAUUUCUGAUACUAAACCAAUAUAACCCAAGCUAUUUAUGGAACUACAGCAAAAUAAUCCACAUUAUUUUUUAAACUAUAGCAAAAUAACCCAACUAUUUCUGAAACUGAACCAAAUAAUACACAUUAUUUCUGGAACUACAGCAAAAUAAUCCACACUAUUUCUGAAACUUCAUCAAAAUAACCCACAUUAUUUCUAAAGCUAUAGCCAAAUAACUCACAUUAUUUCUAGAACUGAACCAAAUAACCCAUACUAUUUCUGGAAAGACAACAAAAUAACUCAUACUAUUUCUGAAACGACAGCAAAAUAACCAUACUAUCUAUGAAAGUGAACCAAAAUAACCCAAACUAUUUCUGGAACUACAGCAAAAUAACCCACCAUAUUUCUGAAACUAUAGCUAAAUAACCUCCACUAUUUCUGAAACUUAACCAACAUAACCUACAUUAUUUAUGGAACUACAUCAAAUUAACCCACACUAUUUUUGAAACUGAACCAAAAUAAUCUAUACUAUUUAUGAAAUUAUAGCAAAAUAACACAAAUUAUUUCUGAAACUAAACCAGAAUACUAUAGAUUACCACUAAUUUAAUUACAAUACUAUGGAUGAUAUAGUCAAUCCCAAUGUGUUGCAAACUUAUGGUAGUCUUGAUAAACCUACUAUAAAACGAGUAUACUGAAAAUACCACACGAACAAAUGUUUAUUAGUACUAGAAACACUAAACACAUGAUUAGUUUAAUUAUAUAAUUUCCAGAAAAUAUUAGAAGUGAUCUAAUUUUUUCGAUAAGGAAUAAAAAAGCAUUAAUAUGAUAGCACUAGCAAGACAACAGUUUUCACCUAUCAGAAGAGAAUUAUACAUUCAAAAUAGAAAAUAACAAAAUAACAAAACAAAAAAUAACAAAACAAAAGCAAUCAGUCAACAUCUUAAUGCUGAAAUUAUGUUAAUCGAUAUGGGAUAAAGCUGGAGAGGUGGCUGGGAAAGGAAGCUCAAAUAAUUCCUUGUGAUUUGGAAGGUGCCAAACAAAAGGGCAUCAUGUAGUAGUAAAACACAGUAGUAAAUAUCACAACGUUCAGGGGUAUAUUGGAAUACUAGAAAAAGGUUUGGGGUGUAUCAAAGCUCGGGUUGGAUUGACUCAAAGCUCACAUACAUCUGACAGCGGGCUCAAACCUCGAGGGUUGUUAAUCCUCCAUUUAAUUCAAUAUGGGCUAGGUUUUCUUUCUAUUGGGAUAAUUUUGGGGACUUAUUUUUUGGGGACUUAUUUUUGUCCAUGUUGGGCUCUGUAAUUACAGCCCAUGUAAAAUUGGGAGUCUCUGUUCCUUUGGUUGAUUUUGAGGUGUUUUUGGUUUCAAAAAAAAGUAUAAGGUGGUUCUUGGUUAAAAUAGUUUUAGUUCAAGCCAUUUUCAUUAAAACUCCCUUUAUAGUGUUGAGAGUGUGAAUUGCACAUGGGAAUUAAAGGGACCUUAAAUGUACUUAUAAGGAUGUAAAUUUUCUUUGGAACCUCAACUUAUUUUUUGGUAUGAGAGAUUAAACCUGAGUCUUGAGCUCAACGACACGUGUUUCCACGUCACUUGAUAUGCGUUAUUCACAUGGUAGGCUAAAUGAUGUCACAUGUGAAAAACGUGUUGAAACUUGAGAAUGUGAAUCUCAAGUCAAAAAAUUAAACUGAGGUGGAAAAUUAAACAAGCGAGUGGACAUAAUAACAUUCUUUAUAAAACCCCAACCGUUCAACCCAAAGCCCACGAAUAAAACCAUGAUUCAUAUAAAAUUAAAAGCCCAACCUAAUUUAACCAAAAAGGUCCACAUCGCAACCGCUCAAUCUCAACCGUUCAUCACAGACCUCAUUAAAUCAUGUUGAUCAUUAUUAACUGGAUGGUCCAUUUUACCCUUCUCAGCGUAUGAGAUGAGGUCCGCUUACUGGAGCUCUCCUUCAUUUCCCACCUGAGCAUUCUCGCUUCUUCUCCCCCAAUCUCAUUCUCGCAUAUGUGAAUGAACGGUUAAACCUUGUAAAAGCUAGAAAUGAAGCCUAUGCAGCUGGAUUACUAGGAAAAAAUGCUUGUGGAUCUGGUUAUGAUUUUGAUGUUCGUAUCCACUUUGAUGCUGGUGCCCAUAUUUGUGGUGAAGAAACAGCGCUUCUGGAGAGCCUUGAAGGGAAACAGGGGAAGCCAAGAUUGAAGCCUCCUUUCCCUGCUAAUGCAGGUUUAUAUGGCUGUCCCACCACUGUUACAAAUGUGGAAACGGUGGCUGUUUCUCCCACCAUAAUAAGGCGUGGACCAGAGUGGUUUGCCAGUUUUGGGAGAAAGAACAAUUCAGGGACAAUUAUUUUGAAUCUCGGGACAUGUGAACAAGCCUUGCACUGUUGAAGAGGAAAUGAACAUACCCUUGAAAGAGUUACUAGAGAGGCACUGUGGAGGUCUGAGGGGCGGAUGGGACAACUUACUUGCCGUAAUUCCAGGUGGUUCAUCUGUUCCAUUGCUUACCAACGAUAUAUGCAAUGAUGUGCUGAUGGAUUUUGAUGCGACCGUUUGACGAAUGGCUUUGCAACAAUUGUGCUUUUUUUUUGUCAAACGAAUAACUUUGUGCUGCUUCAACUCCAGAAACAUCUGCGAUGCUUGUUUUGUCAUUACCUUUUGAACAGUUAUCCCUUUGUGCUUCAACAGAUCCUAAACCUAAAGUGCAUUUUUUGUCAAACGAAUUACUUUAACAGACGUCCUUUGUGACGUGCUACGUAAAACGAAUAACCUUUUUUUUUUGUCAAACGAACUACUUUGCUGACCGACAUCCCACCGUACUUAUUUAUUUUAUUUUCGAUUGAUAAGUUUUCUUUUGCUGAAUUAUUUGUAUUUGUACGCCAUUGUUAAUUAAUAUAAUUUUUAUUAUAAAUUAUUUUUAUAUGUGAAAUUUAAACAGAAAUUAUGAAAAUAAUAAUAAUAAUAAUAAUGUAAUAAAAUAAUAGUUUAAGUUGACAUAUUAUAGAUAAAAAUUAAAAUAUAAAACAGAAAUUAUGAAAAUAAUAUGAUAAAAUAAUGAGUUAAUUUAAUAUAUUGGAUGAAGAGCAGAGCUUUAAAAAUGUUAAAGUGCCACAUAAAUUGUCAAAUGAAAUCUGACAUCUCUUUUAGAUAUGGUUUAGGAUAAUAUUCAAAUAAGCUGUACUACAAACAUACUUCCUACUUUAGUGAGUUAAAAUAGCUAUGACUUAAUCAUUAGCUAAUGAGAAUUAAUUAUUUAUUCAAAAUAAUAUUAAAUCAGUUAGCAUUAUAUAUGGAGAGCAAGAGCUCCUAGAUGAAUUCCUAUCCUAGGAGGCGGAUAUGGAGCAUGAUUAUAGUUGAUUUUUUUUUUAAAUCCUCUCUAAAUUAUUGUCAAGAGCUCAUUUAGGUUUUUCGAACUCAUAUUUACCAAUAAUCAAUUUUUAUAUCCUUUAAUUUUCAAAAUUUACAUACAAAUUUAGUUUCUGUAACUUAUCCGUUUCUCCAAGUGUCCCUCCCUUGCUGCUGUUGUUGCAUAACAUCGAAAUGCUCGUAAAUGUCGAUUUUGCUCAAUUUCUUGUCAAUUACAGCAUACUAUGAUUUCAAACAAAUAACAAUAUUAAUAUUUAAAAUAAUAACAAUCUAGACUAUCAGCAUCAGUUUCGACAAGAAUCUUGAUGCAAUUUCACAUCCAUUUUUUUCUCAUUUCCCGAGAAACAAACACAAUUAUCAUAAAAAUGAGAGUUCAAAUUAUUUUUUUAGGAAAAUUAAUGAAAAGAUUUUGAAAAUUUUAAGUUUUAAUAAUAAGGACAAAAUAAAGAGUAAAAUGAAUAGUACCAGGAUUGACUUUUUAGUGUAAAAAUAUAGUUUUUCGUUAAAGUGAACACUACCGCGAACUUUUCGUUAAAACUCCCUAUUUUUUUAGGACAAAGUCCCAAAAAAUAUAUUUAAAAUUCACCCGAAAAUGUUUGCUAGAGCUUCCUAACAACAAUUGGUGAUGUGCAAACUGUUUUCCUUUUGUUGAUUCUAAAACCUACUUAGCUUACGUGGUGCAUAGGUUGAAUAUCUAAUAAGUUAACUACGUCAUUCGGUUGAAUGCGGAAUAUGCCAACUCGUCGGCCAAGCUCAGCGGGGAGGUGAAUAAAUGUUGAUAGGGCGUUGAGCGCACUGAUGACUUCUAAAUCUUGCGACUGUGUUCGAGAAAGAACAUGUCUCGGCCUUCGGGCUCUAGAGCCUAAAGACAAGGCUGCUAGUUCUGCGAAAUUCAAUAUAAAAUUCGACUUUUCAGUGUGCUGAAUGUCUUAACCUGAUAACACCUCACUUCGACACCUCACUCCCUCUCCCAGGUUUCCACGUUGGCAAUUGGAAACUGUACGACAGUUCCCCAUAUCCUAUUCGAAUUCAAACCCAUUCAAACCCCAUUUUAUUUUCCUAAUAUCUCAAUCACUCCCUCCCUCUAUGCUUUUGGGUUUUGUGGUGUUUGGAUUAAUGAGUUUGUGUUUGUUCUUAGAUUAAUGCAGAAGAACUACGGCAGCAACAACAAUGGAGGCGAAGGUGAGAUGAAGAAGGAGGAAAGCCCAUCACCAUCAUCCUCAAGGUUGUCAAAUGCGCCAAAGCUUUUGGAGGUCCAAUAAUAAAUUCUUCAAAACCUUUGCUUAAUUAUUGGAUAAUAAAUUUUCAAGGUUGAUCUACCAGCCAGGUCACUGUCUCUUCUUGUAUAGAGAGAAAAUGGUAGUGAGAGAGAGAGUAAUUUAAACCGUGGAGGAAUUGGGGUGGUACAGUAGAAGAAGAAGCAGAGAAAAAUGGGGACGCUUCAGACGUGGAAUGGUUACGGUGCUCUCAAGGACUCCAAAAGUCGGCCUUGCCCACGUCAACAGAGAUUUACGCGGUACCAAUUCCUUUCCCUUUUGUUUAAUCUCCGUUGAUUUAACUAAUUAGAAGAAAACAAUAAAGAUUAGAUUUUGGUAAUCCGAAGGAAUUGGAUUUUGAUUUUUGGAUUUAAGUUUGUUUUCUAAGAAUAGAAUUUGGAUGUUGCGAUAGUCAAAGCCACCAACCAUGUCGACUGUCGAGUGCCCUCCCAAAGAGAGACAUCUCAGAAGUCAGUUUCUAAAUUUUCAAAUUAUUCAGAUUCGUUGUUUUAUCCAAUGGGCGGUUCAACUUUGAUCCAAAGAUGUGAGUUUUACAUUUGGGGUGUUUUGUUUGAUGCAGAGAUGUUGCUUAUUGCAUUCAUGCUUCUUUCAAGAAGAUUAAGCAGGAUGUUAACUACAUUGGGGAAAAUUAACGAACAAUGAAGAAUUGAGAAAGAUGAACAACCAGAGAGAAGUUUAGAGAGAAAUAAUGCUCUAUAUUCUGUAAAUAUGACUGGCCAAAUUACAUUUCUGAGUUGCACUUGUAACUAAUUAAUCAACUAACAGCCAAACAAAUAUUCUAACAACUUUGACUAACGUUACGGUGAUUGGUGAUUAUAUGACAGCCAAUAAUUAUAAGACAUUUGUCUUCACAAGACCCCUAAUUGGACGGUAUGCCGUGCUUGCCCAAUCCAUUGCAAAUUUGCAAUGCCAUCCCUUUUAAUUUCAAGAUUUUAUUGGAUGGUUAUUGGACUUACUAAUGUAUCUAUUUCCUUUGAAUUUCAAGUGGGGUUUGCUGAAUAUCGGAGAGCAUUUUUGCUCAUCAUCAUAGACUAUGAUGUACACUUAUCAUACAUCUAAUUAUCCGUCAUGUAUCAUUUUACAUAAUUACAGUUAGAUGAAAUGACACAUGGGUGAGCAAAAAUGCUCCCUUAAUAUCGUUGUUUACCAUGCCCUACUAUAUCAUUUGAGUUUGCUUGGAAAUAUACUUGGUCAAGUACAAAUGUAAAAACAAUAAACAUUGUACGUUGGGCAUCUCGUAAUAAAUCAUUAACGGUGCAAAAGUUCAUACUAUUUGUUAACUAAAAACAGUAAAAUAAAUGUCUUUUGACAAAUGUAAAUGUAAAAAUUAACUUAAAACAUUGUACGCAUGUAGUGAGCUAUAAUUAUAAAAUUGUCUUUAUAAUUAAAAAAAAAUUCGUAGGUCGUGUGACAACUCGUGCUUAAUUUUACGAUUUUAUAAAUUUUAAAAGAGUGAUUCGACGAAAAUGCCCCUAGAGUCAAGGAUUUCAACUUCUGUUGAUCAUCGUUUAGAGUGACAUGUGGCGUAUUCUUUUAGUGUAAUUGCGUAGUAUGCGAUUAUACGAACACACGGGGACACAAGCGAAAUCGAAUUUGAAGUUGCGAUGGAAAUUUUACAAAUUUGGAGGGCGAUUUGGUAUAUGUAUAGAGAUAUUUUGUUGCCCACACCCCACUCCUGCCAGUCCCGUGUCCCUUCUCUCUUCCUAACACCCUCUUUUUAUUUUUAAAACUUUUGGACCACUCUCUUGCUGCCACGUGUCCCUUUCCUCCACACAUUUCCGGAGGUCCCUCUCUUCACUCACCUCUCGUGCUGCCACGACAUCCCAUUUUCCUCUAACCCUCUCUCUCCUCUCUAUUCUUUCCCGUCUCUCUCACUCUAGCACUCUCCUCCCUCUGUAUUCACCGGCGCCGAGGCCAGCUUCCACCAUAUCGCCGUCAUCUCCGACGAGACCCACCAAACCAACACCUGGACUCUCCUUCUCUCCCUCACUAAAGAUCUAAACUCUCUGGGCAUGUACGGACCGAGGAGAGGACCGUUUCGAGUGAAACUUCUCCGGCGUGAUUCCGCCGUUCACGGCCUAAGUAAGAUUCGAGGUCCGUCCUUUCCCUUCCUCUUGAUGAGAUAGCUUGGUUUCUGAGUUACCAUGUGAAAAAUAAACGUGUUUUGGUGCAGAAAUACCUCGGGGAAAUACUCCCUAGUUUUCCGGCGAGCCAUCCGAGUUUUGUAAGCCAUUUCCGGCUAACUUCGGCCAUGGCUUUGUCUCCCAUUGGUAUAUUUCGAAUCCCUACUUCACGAGCUUCAUUUUGACUUUGAUUUCGUGAAAAAUGGUUGAGUUUUGAGCUCGUUUGGAGCUCGGCAAUUUGCUGCCCACGAAUAGAGGACCCGCGACAGGGACCAGGUCGACCCGACCGGAGAAAAAAAAAAGAAAAGGGCCUUAAGCUCAAACGCGGGCCAAAAUCCUUGGCCCAAAUCUUUAGCCCAACCAGCCCAAUCUUUUGGGCCAGCCGGCCCAUUUCUGAAUUUGAUUGGGAAUAUUUUCAGGAAUAUUCCUUAAGUUUGACUUUUUUUCAGAAAUUUUUCGAAAACCAAUUUCAACGUUCCGAGUUCAUUUUUGACACCCAUUUAGUGAAAUUCCAAAGUUUUAACAUGGUUGACCAUCGGGGCGUCUUGGUUGACUUUUUAGGGUUGGCCUUUAAUUUUUUACAAAAUUUACCAAGGACCCUCCUUAGCGUAUUUUGACAUUUCAAAUUCGUCGUCCGUUUUUCAAAAUUCAACCGUUUUAAGAUAGUUCAUUUAUUAGUCGUACCUUGUACGAAAAUGUGUAAUUACAUUAGUACGUUAUAUUUACCUAAAUGGUUUCAUUUCUAGGCGAAACGCUUCGCAAGGAUUCUUGAUGCUACGAGGCGGGUUCGACUCGACGACAUGAUUUGUAGGUAGGUCUUUUCUUUGAUAUAUAUAUAUAUAUAUAUAUAUAUAUAUAUAUAUAUAUAUAUAUAUUGGUUAGUUUCCAUAUGUACAAUUAUUAAUAAAUUCUCUACGUGAUUGCCAUGAUUAAACUUACGUUUAUAGGAAAUGCCUUAUUGUUGGGAAAUUAUGAAAUAAUCAUACCUGAUGCACAUGUAAGCUUACUAUAAGGGGAUGCCUUAAUUAUAUUUAUGGUCAUGAAUAGUAUAAUAUUGACUAGUAUUGUUGAAUGGUUGUGGCAUGAUUAUAAUUAUGUUAUUUGCUCAUUGUUUACUACACCGGUGUUGGUACUCGCCCGAGCUAGGGCUAAUCUUUCACGUGUCUGUGCACAUCGCACCGUACGUUCACCUUGGAUCCAUUGUAGGUGUCAGUCAUGUCGUACAGAUUGCAAUAGGCAACUCCAACUCGUAUGUGAUGCGCAUAGCGCCAGUUUUUACAUGAUUGUAAUACUAGAGCGUAUAUUAUUGUUACACUCAUUAAUGUUCAUGUCAGAAUACCUCUACAUAAACUCAUUCGUCGUCCGUUUUUCAAAAUUCAACCGUUUUAAGAUAGUUCAUUUAUUAGUCGUACCUUGUACGAAAACGCGUAAUUACAUUAGUACGUUAUAUUUACCUAAAUGGUUUCAUUUCUAGGCGAAACGCUUCGCAAGGAUUCUCGAUGCUACGAGGCGGGUUCGACUCGACGACAUGAUUUGUGAGUAGGUCUUUUCUUUGAUAUAUAUAUAUAUAUAUAUAUAUAUAUAUAUAUAUAUAUAUAUAUAUAUUGGUUAGCUUCCAUAUGUACAAUUAUUAAUAAAUUCUCUACAUGAUUGCCAUGAUUAAACUUACGUUUAUAGGAAAUGCCUUAUUGUUGGGAAAUUAUGAAAUAAUCAUACGUGAUGCACAUGUAAGCUUACUAUAAGGGGAUGCCUUAAUUAUAUUUAUGGUCAUGAAUAGUAUAAUAUUGACUAGUAUUGUUGAAUGGUUGUGGCAUGAUUAUAAUUAUGUUAUUUGCUCAUUGUUUACUACACCGGUGUUGGUACUCGCCCGAGCUAGGGCUAAUCUUUCACGUGUCUGUGCACAUCGCACCGUACGUUCACCUUGGAUCAAUUGUAGGUGUCAGUCCUGUCGUACAGGUUGCAAUAGGCAACUCCAACUCGUAUGUGAUGCGCAUAGCGCCGGUUUUCACAUGAUUGUAAUACUAGAGCGUAUAUUAUUGUUACACUCAUUCAUGUUCAUGUCAGAAUACCUCUACAUAAACUCGUGUGUCAGCAUGUAUCGAUGCACACCUGAUAUGAUAUGUUUGCUUAUGCGAGAUUAUGUGAUAUUGGUUGUUAUAUGUUCAUGGGGUGUGUUAUCCACACACCCCAUUUUACUUUUCACAUACCUCUUGAUAAUUUAUGUCCGUUGAUCUUCUUCAAUUCAUCGGAUCUGACGGUCGAAAAUAAAAAAGGUGUGUGAGAAGUAAAAUAGGGUGUGUGGAUAUCACACUCUUAUGUUCAUUUAUGCAAUAUUGCGACGUAUGGCAAUCUUGUGUUUUUGCAGGCUACGGUAGGUAUUUUCUUACUAUACGUAGUAUGUAUAUUUUGAAAACGAUACUUGUUUUACGGCGAGAGGUUAUAAUGUUUUCAAAAGGUUUUUAUUAAAAUUUUAUUUUCAGGCCCAUUCACCUUUGCUUUGCGCUCCUUCAGGUUUUAGCCGCUCAGUUUCGUAUCGAUAAGGAUUCUUGGCAAAUCCUAGUGUAGACUAUUCCCUCAUUGGUAUAAUUCUCACCUUAUCUUACUGUACUGUACUUAUACUCUGACAUCACAUGUAAAAUGAGUUCAUUCCCUCUCACAGUGCACUCUUAUAUUUAUGUACUUUUAGGUUUAAAUUUAUUCACUUUUCCACAUCACUACACCUUAUGGCUUCGUCACCCUCAUGGUGUCAACCAGUACAGCUUGAUUCGGAGUCGUAAUGAACAUUCCAGAUCAGGGUGUGUCACGUCACAAGUAACGCGCCAUGAUGUUUAAAAAAAAAAGCCUUUCGCACCCGUAUGAGCGGAUGCAAAAAGGCUAAUAUAUGUAACACAAGCCAUGAAUCCACUGAAUUUCAAGUGAACAGAGGCUUUUCAUAAAUGUAGAAAAAAUGGCCAAUAACAAUUACAAACUACUAACCAAAACAUCAUAAUAACAUAUUCAUUGAUAUUGGUGUGUUUGAAAUUGUUUUGAAAAUGACUAAAGACGCUUUCAAUGAAAGUGUUUUUAGAACCAAUCUUUAGUUAAAAUGUAAGUAAAUCCUCAAAAAGAACUUGAAGUGUUUUUUGCAAAAAGUACAUAAUUGGUGAUUCUUCCAAAAUUUCACUUAUAGUGCUUUUGGAAUCUAAAACACUUUUCACCAAAAUAGUUUCAGUCAUUUUAAAAGUACUUCCGAACAUGCACAACAUUAAUCAUUCCAUGAUAACUUGGUCAUCUAUACUAUUAAAUUUAAUAGAGAUAAUUAAUAAAAAAAUAAACACGAACACUUAAAUAAGAGGCAUGAUAGAGAUAAAUAAUAAAAAGUUAUCAGGAAUAAGAUAGAUUUACAAAUCUCAUUCUUGUUGAAUUAAUUUGAAUUUAGUAUAUGACAAUAUAUAUAUAUAUAUAUAUAUAUGUGUGUGUGUGUGUGUGUGUGUGUGUGUGUGUGUGUGUGUGUGUGUGUGUGUGUGUGAAGUUUCAGAAAAUGAAACGAAGAGUAGCUUUUGUAGAUUUGGAGUCUUGCUUCUAGGUUGCAGUUACCGUAAGAGAGAAAGAUCAAGGUAGACUUUUUUUUUUUAAUGAACUAUUAAAAUUAGGGAAUCUGAAUGAAACACUUCUAGUACUGUUUAUUUUUAACGAAAAUGAUAUUUUUACCUUAAAAGUCACUCCUGGUACUAUUCAAUUACAACUUUAUUUUGUCAUUUACGUUAAAACUAAAAGUUUUUUAAAACUUUUCGUUAGUUUUUCUUUACAACUAGUGUUUUUUUUAGGGGGGGGAAUGUUUUUGGUGAUGUAAUCACAUGUGGAAGUUGGGGGGGGGGGGGAAUGUUUUUGGUGAUGUAAUCACAUAUGGAAGUUUUUUCAUUACAACUAGUGUUUUUUUUUUAGGGGGGGGGGAAUGUUUUCGGUGAUGUCAUCACAUAUGGAAGUUGUCUUACUGGUCAAUACUAUAACUAUGUUUUUCGUGAUGUAAUCACAUAUGGAAGUUGUUUUACUGGUCAAUACUAUAACUAUGCUGGAUUUUUUUUUGGGGGGGGGGGGGGGGGGGGGGAGGGGGGGUUUACUAUGUUUUUGGUGAUGUAAUCACAUAUGGAAGUUGUCUUACUGGUCAAUACUAUAACUAUGCUGGAUUUUUUUUUUGUUUUUGGGGGGGGGGUAAUGAUAAUUUCAUGUGAAAUUAGAUGAAUUUUGGUGAUGUAAGCUUUUUAUGUAAUGAUACUUUCAUGUGAAAUUAGUUUUUGGUGGUGUAAGUUUUUGAUGUAAUGAUAAUUUCAUGUGAAAUUAGUUUUUGGUGAUGUAAUCAUAUAUGGAAGUUGACCAGUAUCAUGUGAAAUUAGUUUUGGUGAUGUAAUCAUAUAUGGAAGUUGACCAGUAUCGUGUGACAUUUGUUUUUGGUGAUGUAAUCAUGGGGGAGGGUGGGGGGGGAUUUUGAUGUAAUGAUACUAUCAUGUGAAAUUAUUUUUUGGUGAUGUAAUCAUAUAUGGAAGUUGUCUUACCGGUCAAUACGAUAAUUUCGGAUUCUUGCUACCGCGUUGCAGUUUCAUACUUUCAUGUGAAGGUUUAAUGUUAAGGUUUUAUUUAGGGUAAAUUACAUAAUAGUCCCUCAAGUUUGAGGUCUAUUACAAUCUCAUACAACAUCUAUAAAAUAUUUCACUUUCAUACCUCAAGUACUAUUUUAUUUCAAUAUAAUACAUCCGUUAGAUUUUUUAUCAAUUAAUCUAUUAAGCGCUGACGUGGCUGCUAAAUGUGUGCCAUGUGGCAAAACAAAUUAAUUUUUUUUAAACCUAAAUUUUCUCAACAAAAAAAAAAAAAAACCAUCCAUCUUCCCGCAACCCCCCCCCCCACCAAAAACAAACCCAGAUCCUUUUUCCCCCACCCACCUCACAGAAACCUCAUUCCUCUUCCUCACCCCGCCCAUCCUCCUCCUCUCCUCCCUCAUAUUCAUCUUCUUCCCCUUGCAACCCAGCCCAGCCCAGCCCCACCUUACCUGAGCGCAUCCGCACCCACCCUUUUUCCUCCUCUACACACUACACUCCUUAAAUCUCUUUUCACCUCACGAACCCGACGAUGGCGGACGGGAUCUGAGUUUUUUUUUUUUUUUUUUUCUUCUUCUAGGUUGCAGGUAGAGGGUCGGACGCACCCGCAUCCACCCUCUUACCCACCCUCUUCCAUCCUCUACGAACCCCACUCCUUAAAUCCACACCCAUUCCUCCCAUUUUCACCUCACGAACCCAACGAUGGCGGACGGGAUCUGGGUUUUGUUUUUUGUUUUUUUUUCUUUUCUUCUAGGUUGCAGGUAGGGGUUGGGGGAAGAAGAUGAAGAUGGGGGAGAAGAGAUGGGAGGAGGAGGGGGGAAGACGAAUUGAAGGGGUUUUUUUUUUUUUUGGUUGCGGAGAAGAUGAAGAUGGGUGCGGUGGGGUGUGUAGAGGAGAGGGAGGGCGGGAAGACGAAGUGGGCUUUGGUUUUUGGUUUUUUUUUUUUUUUUUAAUUUUAUAAUUUAUUUAGAAGAUUUAGGUUUUUAAAAAAAUAUUUAUUAGCUAUGUGGCACACAUUUGGCAGUCACGUCAGCAUUUAACAGAUUAAUGGUUGGAAAAUCUAACGGAUGUAUUAUAUUGAAAUAAAAUAGUACUUGAGAUAUAAAAGUGAAAUGUUUUAAAGAUGUUGUAUGAGGUUGUAAUGGACCGCAAACUUGAGGGGUUACUAUGUAAUUUACCUUUUUAUUUAUCACAUGGCAAGUAAUUAUAUAAUAAAAUAUUAAAAUCAGUGGGAGGCGGGGGGGGGCAUCACAUCUGGUAGUCGUACUUAUCAUUCAAUAAUACAACAAUUUUGAAUUCCUGCUAUUGGGUUGCAGUUCAGCACACAUAUGUGAAAGAAAAACAUACUUUCAUGUGAAAUUAGUUUUUGGUGAUGUAUUCAUAUACUUAUUGAAAUGGGUUCUAUAUAGGGCUCUGGUAGAGUCGUUCUUUGGAACUUUAUUAUCUCAUGAGUAUAGACUGAUAUAUAUUUAUGUAUAAUUAUUAUGAUUUUUUUAAAAUCAUUGUUGGGGGUGCAAUCACAUCAUUAGUUCGAAGUUGUUACUUAUCAAUUUGAAAUUCAAAUUUAAAACAAUAAUUAAUUAGCAAAUUGCAAAAAAUAAGUCUGAAUGAUCUCACAUGAGUAUCCCACUGUCAAUAAUACAACAAUUCUGAAUGGACUUGGAUUGUCUGCCCUCCCAUUUCGAUGUCAUUCUCGUGCCUUCUUGUUUGUGUGGUCACGAUUAAGCAACGUCAACAUUUUAUAUUACUAUUUCUUUUUGUUUUAUUAUUUUUAUAAAAAAAUAAUAUAAAAUGUUGACGUGGCUUAACCGUGACCACACAAAACAGGAGAGCACGAGGAGGACACCGAAAUGGGAGGGUAGACAAUCUAAGUCCAUUCUGAAUUCCUGCCAUGUGAAAGAGAAAAUCAAGGUAGACUUUUUUCUUUUAAACAUGCAGCACGUGAAAGAAAAAAAUCAAGGUAGACUUUUUUUUUCUUUUUUUUUUUUGAGUGAAACGAUAGCGUUAGUAAGUUAAAUGUUAGAUUAGCCAUCAACGAAGUUCGAAUCCAUGCCGUCAUGCAAUGGCACAACAUCUUUCCACCACUAUAGUAAAUGACCGUUUGCAACUAAAUUUUCUUUUAGUUUUAAAAGAGAAGGUUUAAUGUUAGGGAUUAAAAUUUUAAAUUAAUUUUUGUAAACUAAAUAUGUGGUUGUUAAUUAUUAAAUUAUUACUUAACUAUUGAUUAACGUAUUUAUUUUUUAUUGACAGUAUAUUAUUUAGUUUGUAAAUUUGGUUUAAAAUUUUAGUAUUAAUAUUAGAUUUGAUAUAUGUUAGACUUACUCUUGAUGUUAAGGGUUUUUUUUUAGGAAAACUAAUGAAAAUGACUUGAAAACUUUGAGUUUUAACGAUGAUGCCAAAAUAAAUGGUAAAGUGAAUAGUAUCAAAGUUGACUUUUUAAUGUCAAAAUAUGAUUUUUUAUUAAAAUAAAUAACAUGAGCUUUUCGUUAAAAUUCUUUUUUUUUUAAUUUUUUUUUCUAUCAUCAUCAUCACAUAGUAAGUGAUAUAUAUUAGUAAAGUAUUAAUAUCAAAUUUCAACUCUCAGGAUGAUUACACCACCCCAACCCACCUUGCUUCUGACCCAAUAAUAAAAUAAAUAAAACAACCCCACUACCCAGUGGUAUAAAACAGACCAUAGUACAAAAGCUUCCACACACUUUCUUCCCAGUAGCAUAAAACAGCCCCCGGCCCCUACACCAAUCAACCCCUCCUCACCGCCACCGCCACCUCAACUCUCAACUCUCAUUUCUCAUUCUCUCCUUCUGCUACUAGCUGCCUCUUUUGACCACCAUUAUGGCGGACGUUGAAAAUCAAAACCCUCCUUCAAAUCCGCAACCACGUCUAACCGAGACUCUGAGCAUCCUCUUGGCCUUAGGUACCAUUCUGUUUGUCGUCAUGGUGAGCCAGUUUGACUUUGUCUCCGCCGAUACGGCUAGUUGCGAAUGCAACCUGAAUAACUGUUCAUGCCUUCCUCCCUUCUACAUUUUCUUUGUCGUUGCCACGGCCGCGAUGUCUGUUGUUUGGCUUGGACUUUUUAUCCUCUCUGCCCGAUUUGAAUACCGCUUCGUUAUCUGGGUAGGGCUUGGCUUAGUGUGGGCUACCUACUGGCUCGCGGUGAUUUGCAGCCUUCCACCCCAGUUUUAUAAUCCUAUGCUUUAUUCCUUCAAUCCUGUUAUGGCAGUCCUAUUGUUACUUCACCUAAGAUUUCAAAAGGUCUCGAAACGUGCGAUGCAUGUCCUAUCUGACAACUGGAACAACGUGAUCCAUGUCAUAUCUGACAACUGGGACUGCGUGAUCCAUUUCAUAUCUGAUAACUGGGACCGCUCGAUCCAUAUCAUAGCUAACAUCUAUGUUCUGUUUUGGAACUAUGUCACAGGAAACUUCUAAUAUUUGGGUAUUUAAAGUCUGUUCAUACUUUUUUGCUUUUUUCUUUAUAAUUUUUUUUUCGAAAUUACCGUUUCUUGAUUUAUGUGUGUGUGACAUGUUAACAUUUUUAUGAAAAAUUAUUUUAAAGUCAUCUUCAAUUUUUAAGUUAAAAUUUUAAAUUUUUAACCCAAAAAUUUUAAAUUUUGACCCAUAAACAAUUUUUUUGUUCUAAUGAUUUUGAGUACAAAUUUUAAGCCGAGAUUAUUAAAUGAUGAAUUUACGGUACUUUUAAUUCAAUAACUUUUUUCAAAAUAAAAUUUAUGUAGAUUAUCAUAAUUUAUUUUUAUAAAAAUUUUAACCUAAAAAUAUUUAAAUUCCGAGAAAAGUUAAAAAUUCACUAAACGGACCUUAUGAAACAUGUAUUAUAUAGUUUUUAGGUGAAUUUUAAUUUAAAUAUUUUUUAAUUGUUUUAACCGUUAGAUUUUUUUAACCUUUAGAUUGAUCGUAUUCUAUCUCAGCUGUUAUAUUUAAUGUUUUUUAAAUUAUCCAAAUUUUAGGUUUUAAGCUAAACCUUAUUUUACCCAAUCAUUAGAAUUUGAUUGAGUUACUUUUAAACCUAAAAUACCUAUACAUAUUUUACAUGUAUACACAUUUAAAAAAAAAUACUCUCGAAUAAUACAUGUACACCACACAUGUUUCAUAUUUUACAAACUAUGAUUUGCGUAUAUAUAAUAUAUGAGUUGUUGAUGUCGCUCAAAUACAAAAUACACUGAAAAAUUACAAAUGCUUUAAUUGGCAACAAAAAAUUAGACAAGCUACAGGCAAACAAUGUUUGUUACGUUACUUCUUUCUUCUGUUUUUGUAUGAGCAUCUUACUUAUAUUAUUUUUUUAAUUAUUUCCAAUGUUAUUUUCAGAUCAGAAGAAAGAUGGAGAGAGAGCCAAUUAUCAGCAAAAUUCCCUGUCCAUUCCUCUUCUUUUGAAUGUAAUAGUUGUCUUUUCCUACUAGCUAAGUUUUUAAUAUUUGGAUCUCUCCAUGAAACAUACUUGUUAUAUUUAUUCGGUGGUAUGUAAUUUUAGAAUAUUUUGGAUCUCUUCAUGUAAGACUUGUUAUAGAACUCGUUUCGAAGUACUUUGAAAAUAGCUAAAAGAGCUUUUGGUGAAAAUGUUUUUUUUUUAAACAAAUCCUUAGUAAAAAUGCAAGUAAAUCCUAGAAAAGUAUUAAAGUACUUCAUGUAAGAAGCACCCAGUUAAGUGCUUAUUCCAUGAAGCACUUUAAGUGCUUCUAGAAUUCAAAAAUAUUUUCACUAAAAGAAUUUCUAGUCAUUUUAACUGUACUUUCAGACAAGCCCAUAUUUAUUAUGUGGUGUGUAAUUUUAAUAUUUUGGAUCUCUAUAUAUGAGCUGCUAUAUUUAUUCGGUCAAGUGUGUAAUUUUGUUUUUAAUAUUUGUGUAAGUGUAAUGUUUAUUGAAUAUUUGUGUUAUUGUCGAUUAUCCCUCCUCUCAUUAAAUAUAGAAAUAUUGUUGUAUAAAAAAAUCAUCAAAAAUCAUAACACUAAUCCCCUCACACUUAAACGUCCUUGUGUCUUAUUAAAGAAUAAUACUACACUUACCCCAUAUUUAUAUCAUCAUGUUACCCUCCCUCUAAUAAAUUUUGUAAGAGGAUGUCUGAUAACUAUUUCGUUUUCAACUUUUAGUUUUUAUACUUCAAAUCUUAUUUGGUAAUUUCCUUCAAAUUUUCAGCUUUUAAAUGAAAAUUGAAAAUUGAAAAUACUUACCAAAUAAGAUUUCAGUUUUUUUUUUAAAUUGAAAUAAAAACUAGGGAUGGGCACCUGAAACCGAAAACCGAAACUGAAACACGAAUCAAAUCGAACCGUAUCGAACGAUUAGGUUUUGCGGUUUUGAAAUCGAACCGCAAAGUAGGAAACGGUUUGGUUUCGGUUUUGGCUUUUGAAAACCGCAUCGAAACCAAAACCGCACCUCAAAUUAAAUGUCAUCUUUUAUAUGGUUGUUUGUUAGAGUCCAUAUAGUUAGUAUUGGACUCAACCACACUAGAAUGUCAUUCAUUUCCACCCCUAUUCUAUUCGACAAUUAUCACUUAUCAAUGCAGCCCUUCGAAGAGGAAGAGCUAUCUUGCAUUUCUUUAGGAAACUAAAUAGUAGAUUAACAAAAUCAUCCCCAACUUCUCCAUAACAAACCAUGUUCCUAGAUUUGAUAACCAUAAGCUUAUCAGUAGAUGGUGCAAAUUAACACUUGCAUUAGGAUUAACAUGUAAUUUUAUUGGUGCAAAUUUACAUACAACGUUUUUGGUAUUUUACCAUGUUAGUAAUUAACAUUUAAAGGUGCAAAAACAAGUGUGUGUGUGUGUGUGUGUGUGUGUGUCUAUAUAUAUAUGGAGUUGGAAUAUAUGUCAACUGUUACAAGCAAAUAUAGUGUGUUGACUUAUAAACAAUUAUCCCAUCCUCCUCAUUUAUAUGUUCAAUGUAGGCUUUAUUAUGCUAAUUAGCCUCUGUUGCAAAAUACAAAUCUCCUUCGUGGCGAAAACAUGCAGACAAUCCUAUUUUAUUUAUUUUCAGCAUAUAUUAACACUUGCAUUAGAUAGGUAUAAACAUGUAUUGUUUGGAAAAUGAGACCGUCUUAUGCGUAGAUAGGUGUAAAUUUUAAACUGUACAUUUUUUUCUUCUCAAAACCAAACCAAAACCGUUUGAAACCGCACCAAACCAAACCAAAUGAUUUGGUUUCAUUUCGAUUUUGGCUUCAAAACCGCACCGCCAAAAGUUUCGAUUUCGGUUGCGGUUUCACUCAAAAUCGCACCGAGCUGAACCGUGCACACCCUUACUAAAAACUGAAAAUGAAAUGGUUAUCAAACUACUCAUAAGAACAUUCUUGAGCCUUGCCAACUCAAUAAACUUUUUGAACUUACAAAAGAUUCAAACAAAUGGUGGACUACUUUAGCUCACAAAACUCAACUUCAAUGGGAGCCCAAAGUAUCUCUUUUUCUUUAAGGGGUCGUUUGAUAAUUAUUUCGUUUAGUUUAUGAAAACCUGAAAAUUGAAAUCUUAUUUGGUAACUACUUUUAGUUUUCAUUUUUAAUAAAAAUAAACUAAAAACCAAAACUCAACCAUUCUUGAGUUUUUAAAAUAUGGCAUUGAAUUUUCACUUUUUUGAAAACUGGCAAAAAAGAUUUUAGCUUAAAAAAAAAAAAAAAAAACUGAAAACCAAUACUAAAAACUGAUAAAAAUGUAUACCAGUCUUACAUUUUACCUUAUUCAAAUAAGUAUAUUAUUUUCUUGUUCAUUAAAUAAAAAGUAGGACAAAUGGUGGACCACGUUCAAACGUGAAAACACACGAACCAAUUGCAACCUCAAUAUGUGGAAUCAUCUUGUUCCAUGUUAAUUGAUGUACAAAUUCAAUAAACUCAAUAUUGUCCUUUGUUUCCUUCACAAUCAAAAUUCAAAAAAGUUUAGAAAAUGAGGAUAAAAUGGUAAAACCAGUAUUACUACACAGGAGAGAAGAUGAACGUGGUUUGGUUUGGAAUUGCUACGAGCAGUUGCGUUCGGUUUCUCUCUUUCUUCCACCAUCCACCACGCAAAAACUCAAUCGUCUCAAUCUCUCAGGUAUUUUUCUUUAUUUUCUUCUCUUCUUCUCUUCUCUUGCUCUUUUUGGCGUUGAUUUCUUUCUCCAUCAUGUCUUAUCAAGAAUGAAUUUGAAGUCUAAAUUACGGCUAAAUUAUAGAGGAGAAAAUCUGGAAGGAAUCCAUUGGUGGAUUCAGGCUCGACUCUGAAACGGCAGCGAUCGAGGUUAGAUCAGAAGCAUGCUGCAGUGGGCAGUGAAACCUCGAUUUUCGGAGCAGCAACAACCUUAUUUGGUGGAGUUGAGCAUGCGACUCCGACUUAAAUUGAAUAAUCUUUGCGACGGAGCAACUCGGUUUGCAAAUAACUUAUGAUGAACUGAAACAUUCCUCCCAAUUUUUACAACCAACAUCUCACCGCACACCUUGAGAACAAAAGGGUACGUAAAAUUGUCUGCUUUCUGUCCAAAACUAAGUAUUUCACGGUACAAAACCAGAGACAUAAACAGAUAUCCAUUACAGGCAUAUUCCUUGAUUAUGAAAUUCCACAUGAACAAGUUUUUCAGUAAAAUCCCAACAAGUUUUUCAGUAAAAUCCCAUAAAAAAUAUGAUGCGCUUGGGGCAUUUACCGCAGUACAUAGAAAGGGGCGAUGAAGGCGACAACGUGGAGGUUCUUGCCAUUUGGUAAGGAUUUGGUUUUGAUGAGGGAUCGGAAAUUUUUAAUUCUCCCCUUACUUCAAAUGUUGAAGAUCCAUAAGGAAGAGGUGUUUCACUUCAUUAGUUUGUAUAUUAGAAUUUUUUUAUAUAUUUGUAUUUUGUAACCGUAUGAUAGGAUUACAAAUAGUAACGAUUUCACUAAAUCUCUCUGGCUUUAAUUCUGUAUUGUUUUAUCCUUUUUGUGUGAGAUUCUAUCAAUUAUUUACAAUCUCUGCAUUCUUAUUCAUGUGCUUAUAACAACCAUUUAAAUUGAUUAUUAUUUUUCUUGCAGUUCCAAGCUUUUGAUAAAUUAAGGCCAACUCUCUCGAUCUCCCUCUUUUUCCUGCUUUCUUUCAAUUUCUUGGUAUGCAAUAGUUCUUUGCCUAGAUUUUUUUAUAAUAUUAUUUACUAUUAUUAUAUUUUCUUCUUCUAUGUAUUAAAAAAAUCCAGAAGACAAAAACUUUAAAAGGACCACAAUCCAAAAAUACUCUUAUUUGAUUCAGAUUUUAAGAAAAAAAAUAUUUCAAUUUGUAGUCUUCUAGCAAAACAAAACUACCACGUAGAGGGAUAAAAAGAUAAAAACAUGGGUAUAGAGGUUUUUUUUUAAUUUUUUAAUUUUAAUUUUUAACUUGGUAGAAUGGCUAUAGAGUUUUGAAUGUGGGAGAAGACAAGAUAAGAGCAAUGAGUUUUCAUUGGUAGAAUGGCUAUAGAGUAUUUAGGGUUUUCAUUUAAGUUCGUAAUAUGCUUUUCAAUUAUUGAAUGGUUUAUUUCUCCCUCUCCUUCUUCUUAUAGGGAAAUCUAUGAAACGAUUAUUGUUGAAUUGAUGCUUGUUUCAUUUGGAGAAUAGUCAUUCUGACUUUUCUCAUUCUAAUUCCUUUUUACUAUUCAUAUUCAUUUUCCAUUCUGAUUACAUGUACGUAAAUAUGGAUCGAUUUUUAGUCAUCGACAUUCAUAUGUUUUGCAGGUUCUUGAUCGCGGUGAGAAGAUUGAACUAUUGAUGGAUAAACCUGAUAAUCUUUGCUCCCAGUUAAUUAGUCCAUAGUUUAUGUGUAUCAGAAUAAUAUUUGAUUUCUUAAUAUGUGGCUUCAUUCAAAUGGAGUUUGUUUUUAUAUUGAGUUCUUACAAUUGUGGUAGCAUAAAUUUGACAAAGCAGUUUGCAAGCGGAAUGGGAAAGGGUAAGAUAUAUAUCAAGAAAUAAUAGAUAACAUACUAUGAAGCCAGAAACCCUAUCAACUCCAUCUUUAGCAAUUUUUAAUAAGAUAAAUUGUUCAAACAAAUGUAAUCAAAGUCAGUGUACUUCGUGGUACUGUAAGGAAAAUAAAUAAAUAUAUAUAUAUAUGAAUUCUUACUCUUCAACUUAAUGCCAUAGAUUGAUUGUUUAAUUUAUUCUCUUACAUUAUUAUUUGAUUCCUUGAAGUAUUUUUACCUUUAUUUUUUCCUAAUCUCUUUGAAUGUGCUUUAGCGCGUACAAGGAGCCUUUAUUUUAUCACGCAUUUUACACCUAACUUAAUUAUAUUCCAAUACCUUUUAUUUGUAAUUGUAUGUAUUUUAUUUUUAGGACGCCAUAUAAGAAAGAAAACAACUACCACAACACAUUUUAAGGGGUAAGUAGCACCCAUGAUUAAAAAAGGCCUCUCAUGCGUGUGAGCGUUUGCAGAGAGACUAGUAGUAAAGAAAACUAAUGAAAAAAGUUUGAAAAGUUUGAAUGUUAACCAAAAACUAGGUACUAACUUUAUUUAAUGGUUAGGACAAAACACAACACUAAACCAAUCCAAUUAAAAUGGUCCAAACACUGAUUUUUCAAUUUUGCCCCUACCUUUUCCGUUUAAUAUCUUUCUUCCUUCUCUCUUCCACUCUGUCUUCCCCAUUUCUUCGUGAAUCCUCACUCUUAGAGCAGUUCCACCGUGGUGUAUUACCCGGUGGACUGGGGAUGGAACAGGGCCAAAUAGGCCGGUGGAUAAGGUCUAGCGUAUGCCAGCUCGAGGGAUAGGCCAUGCCCGAGCAACAGGCUUGGCAGGGAUUGCCAGCUCGAGAGCCCGAAGGGAAUGUGACGUGGGCUGACGUCAGCCACAAUAUAAAAUUAAUAAUAAUAAAAAAAAAUUAAAUAAAUGAAAACCCAAGCUUCGAACUCAACGGCUCUCGCCGGAGUUCGUUGCCGAUGUUGAUAAUACACCCACAGAUAAAUGGCAGAGACUAAACCCAAGGGUUUCAACUCGGAGGCAUGCGUUGAAGGUAAGGCGAGCACAGCACCUGAACCUGCUCCUGCAGAAAUCUGAUGUAUCCCAUCGCUUCGUGAAGCACCGAUGCUGUGUCUGUCUGCAGACAUUCAAUUGUCCAAUUUCCUAGAAGAACACCCAAAAAAAAAAAAUCAGAAUUUUUGGGUGAAUUUUCCAAAAAUAUGGUUGAAAAAAAUGUAACUGGGGUUGGUUGAUUUGGGGUUUUGCAAUUUCACCUUGCCAUAUGGUGAAACGAGCUACUGCAGCGCUGUGAUUCGUUCUCCAAGCUUCUCCUUCCUCUGUAAAUUUGCAAAAAAUCAGAACCCAUGUGUAAAAUCACAGAAGGAAUUGUUCUGCUUUGCAGAAACGGAAGAGAAAGAGAGAACAAAGCAUGCAGAUAGUGGGUUUUGAGGAAGGGGAGAGAGAGAGAGAGAGGCAUGCAGUGAUCUAGAUGACUUUUUGGAGUUCUGUUUUUGUUGAAAGGUCGGACCUUUUCGUUGCCGGCCGAUGUGGGAUUUUCUGAUUUCGUCUUUUCAACGGCUCUCUGGGUUGGAGAGAGAGAGAGAGAGAGAGAGAGAGAGAGAGAGAGAGAGAGAGAGAGAGAGAGAGAGAGAGAGAGAGAGAGAAAGAGAAAGAGAUAGAGAGAGAGAGAGAGAGAGAGAGAGAGAGAGAGAGAGGGUGAGAGGGUGAGAGAGAGUGUGUUUUGGGAAAAAAUUGAAAAGGAGUAGGAAAAAGGAAAAAGGAAAAAAAUUAAAAUUUAUUUUGUAUUAUUUUAUAAAUAAAAAAUACUAAUAUUUUAUUAUCAAUUGUCAGGGCUAUUUAGUGUAGUGGUGGAGAUGCAAAAGGUAGUUACUGUUCAUUAAUAGCAGUUACUGCUCACGGGGUGGAUUGAAUAGUGAAUAACCUGGGGGAGGGCUCCCACGCUGGAAUUGCUCUUACAAUGCAAUAAAUUUUGGAAAAUCAAUGAUUUCACGAAAUCAGGCGAUUCUGUGGUGAGUUAGGUGCAUCUCUAAUCUGAUUACACAAAAGUUGAAGAAAGAAAUGAAAAACGCACAUGGGUCACUAUAAAAUUUGUUGAUGUUGUCCUUGUGGUUGUUGGGGAUACUUUCUCAACUACCAAAUUACAGAGAGACUUACAAGUACGAUUAUCUUUGCAAGAGCAGAGGUGACUUACUUGCUCACUUUGAGAAGAGCUUCAUGAAGGAGAGGAAAUGAGAGGUUGGGGCAAGCGAGAAAAGAGAGAGAGAGAAAGAAAAUGGUGAAAGAGAGAACAGGGAAUGCAUUUAUCGAAGGAAAUAAAAUGUCCAUAAGUGAAUUAAUUAUUUUAUUAAUAAGAAUAUUAAAUAAAAUAAUGAUUAAAAAGCUAAACCAGCAAAAUUGAAAAAACUAAACAUUAAAUAAAUUUUAAAAAUGUUAAAAUAACAUUAAAUGAAUUUUAAAUGUAUAAUUAUAAACAUUUUUAUAUACAAAUCAAUUUACAUUCUUUAACAAAUUUAGAAUGAAUCAAAUAUCAUACUAUCUAUGUCUCCUCUCUUGCGAAUGAUACCAUAAGUUACUAGUGAAUCCUGUAACCGAACCGAACUGCGAACUUGAACUGUACUCCGUAUCUAGUAACUAUGGACCAACCAAAUCAUUUCUAAUCAAAUAAAAAUAAAUGAUUUUUGUGUUUGAACAGUGGCUUACAUAAUAUACAUCGCAUUUAUUUCUUGGUAACCAAACACAAUUGAGGAAAAGGAAAUUACGAACCUAAACAGUGGCUUCUAUUAUGAAACUAAACCAAAAUAACCCAUCAUAUUUCUGAGACUAAACCAAAAUAACCCAAGCUAUUUUUGGAACUACAGCAAAAUAACUCACACUAUUUUUUAAACUACAGCAAAAUAACCCAACAAUUUUUUAAAUUGAACCAAAAUAAUACACAUUAUUUCUGGAACUACAACAAAAUAACCCACACUAUUUCUAAAACUUAACCAAAAUAAAACACAUUUCUGGAACUAUAGCAAAAUAACUCACUAUUUCUGGAACUGAACCAAAUAACCCAUACUAUUUCUGGAACCACAACAAAAUAACCCACACUAUUUCUGAAACUACAGCAAAAUAACCACAUUAUUUAUGAAAGUGAACCAAAAUAACCCACAUUAUUUCUGAAAUUAUAGCAAAAUAACCCACCAUAUUUCUGAAACUAUAGCUAAAUAACCAACAAUAUUUCUGAAACUUAACCAAAAUAACCUACAUUAUUUAUGGCACUACAUCAAAUUAACCCACACUAUUUUUGAAACUGAACCAAAAUAAUCCACACUAUUCAUAAAAUUAUAGCAAACUAACACAGUAUUCCUGAAAUUGAACCAGAAUACUAUAGAUUACCACUAAUUUAAUUACAAUACUAUGGAUGAUAUAGUCAAUCCCAAUGUGUUGCAAACUUAUGGUAGUCUUAAUAAACGAACCACCUACUAUAACACGAGUAUACUAAAAAUACUGCAAAAACAAAUGUUUAUUAGUACUGGAAACACUAAACACAUGAUUAGUUUAAUAUAUAAUUUCCAACAAAUAAUAGAAGUGAUCUAAUCUUUUCGAUAAGGAAUAAAAAAGCAUUAAUAUGAUAGCACUAGCAAGACAACAGUUUUAACGUAUCACAAGAGAAUUAUACAUUCCAAAUAGAAAAUAACAAAAUAACAAACAAAGGAAUCACUCAACAUAUUAAUGCUGAAAUUCUGUUAAUCGAUAUGGGAUGAAGCUGGAGAGGUGGCAGGGAAGGGGAGCUCAAAUAAUUCCUUGUGAUUUGGAAAGUGCCAAACAAAAGGGCAUCAUGUAAUACUAAAACGCAGUAGUAAAUAUCACAACUUUCAGGGGUAUAUUGGAAUACUAGAAAAAGGUUUGGGAGUAUAUCAAAGCUCGGGCUGGAUUGACUCAAAGCUCACACACAUUUGACAGCGGGCUCAAACCUCCAGGGUUGUUAGGCCAUCUCUAACUGAAGGGUCCAAAGGGCCAAGGGCUGAAAAUAACCCUAAAAUCGUCUCCAAUCGAGGGCUAGACCAGAGAGCUCGGGAAUCUGGGAGGGCCCCACGGAAUUUCAAAGGGCCAAAGGGCUGGCUGCUGGCUGGCUAUUUUUUAUUUUUAUAGUUUUUCAUUGCUGUCGGUUAUAACCGACAUCAUUAAAGAAGGAUUUUAAUACUGUCGGUUAUAGCCGACAGUAAUAGUUAGGCAAAGGCAAAUUUUUUUUUUUUAAUUACUAUUAGUGUUGGUUAUAACCGACACUAAUAGUUUGAAUUUUUUUUUAAUAUAACGGCUAGUAGCCGUUGUAUUAAUUUUUUUUAUAUGAAUUUAAACUUCUUUUUUUCCCUUAUUUUUUUCCUUUUCAUAUGAAUCAAAUUUUGUUUCAUAUUUUUUUUCAAUUCUAUUUUACAAAAUUUGUUUCAUAUUUUUUUUAAAUUCCAUUUUUUUCCUAUAACUUCUAUUUCACAAAAUUUGUUUCAAUUUUUUUUAAAUUCUAUUUUUUUCCUAUAACUUCUAUUUUACAAAAUUUGAUUGAUAUUUUUUUUUCAUAUAACUUCUAUUUUACAAAAUUUGUUUCAUAUUUUUUUUAAAUUCCAUUUUUUUCCUAUAACUUCUAUUUCACAAAAUUUGUUUCAUCUUUUUUUUUAAUUCUAUUUUUUUUCCUAUAGUGUUGGAAUCUAAAGGUCUUCACCUAAGCCGAUCAAAGACAGAAUAUAUGGAGUGCAAGUUCAGUGCAAAUGGAGGCCAAAACGAGUUAGGGGUGAGGAUCGGAGAUCAAGAAAUACCAAAGAGCGACCGUUUUCGUUACCUAGGAUCUAUCUUGCAAAAGAACGGAGAAUUAGAUGGAGAUCUCAACCAUAGAAUACAAGCUGGAUGGAUGAAGUGGAAGAGUGCAUCCGGCGUGUUGUGUGACCGCCGUAUGCCACUGAAGCUCAAGGGAAAAUUUUAUAGGACGGCAAUAAGGCCGGCGAUGCUGUAUGGCACAGAAUGUUGGGCGGUGAAGCAUCAACACGUACACAAAAUGGGUGUAGCGGAGAUGAGGAUGCUUCGUUGGAUGUGUGGGCACACGAGAAAGGAUAAGAUUAGGAAUGAGGAUAUCCGGGGUAAAGUAGGAGUAGCCGAAAUUGAAGGAAAGAUGAGAGAAAAUCGGUUACGGUGGUUUGGACAUGUGCAAAGAAGGCCUACUGACGCUCCGAUUAGAAGAUGCGACUAUGGGACAGAGGUUCAGGGCCGAAGGGGUAGAGGAAGACCCAGGAAAACUUUGAGAGAGACCCUAAGAAAAGACUUAGAGUACUUGGAUCUAACGGAGGACAUGACACAGGACAGAACACAAUGGCGUUCUAAGAUUCAUAUAGCCGAUCCCACUCAGUGACUUGGAUUUUCCAAGUCUCCAACCGAGAAGUUGUCCUCGUUCGGGAAAUUAAGGGAACACUACCUCAACCUACAUGCUCCACUCACAAAGCUCCAACAUACAAGCUUCAACAAAAGAAAAUUCAAAGAACUUAGCGAAGAAGGCUUUGGUGAUUUAACACAAUACGUUGAAAUGAAGGAAAGCUUAUUUAUUGAUAUCUUGAUAAAUUACAAAUAUGUACAUAUACUUGAGUCAAAAUAAACAAACAAGAGGGAGCCUUCACAAAGGUUGCUUAGGAGAAUUCUCGGCAGUCAGUAGAGCCCCAGAAAGAGAAGGCACCGGAGGGGGAUCAUUCGGAGCCUCAGUACUGGACAGAACCCUAGAAGGAGGAGGCAUCAGAGGUUGAUCAUUUGGAGCUUCAUUACGCGGUACAGCCCCAGAAGACGAAGACAAUAAAUGCCUUUGGAACAAACCCACAAAUCUCUGAUGAUCAAGUAAAACCUGACCAUCAGAUUCCUUCAUCUGGUCAAGCUUCCUCUUCAUGUUUGUAGCAUAGUCAUGUGCGAGCCGGUGCAACUGUUUAUUCUCAUGCUUGAGCCCUCUAAUCUCCUGUUUGAGACUCAUCACUUCAGCCGCCAAUGAUUCAACUUGGCGGGUUCGAGCAAAUAGGCGUUGUGCCAUAUUAGACACAGAAACCUGCACACUGAACACUAAGAGCCAGAGAAUCCUUAACAGCCAACUCAUCAGACCGUUUGGAAAGUAGUCUGUUAUCUUUGGGAGUGAGAAGGUUCCUGGCCACUACCGCAGCGGUCAUAUCAUUCUUCAUCACGGAAUCCCCAACGGUAAGAGGACCAGUAGGGGAGACGAAGGAUGGGCGCCAUAUGUUGUCUGGAGAAGGCGGGGCUGCCUCUUCAACAAGGUUCAAGUCAAAACGACGGUCGGAGGGGCCAGACAUUUUCAAAGGUGUAGAAGAGAGAAGAGGUCGGACAAAUCAAGUUCUUAGAAGUGCAAGAAUGGAGCUUCUACAGGUGGAUAUUCAAGUGUGCUUUGGAACUUAAUGUUAGCCUCUAUAAAAAUCUGCACUCGACGAAGCUUCAGAAAUCGAAGAGGCGUUUGCUUUCUCAAAAGCUGGGCUGCUCAGAGACCACGAGGGUCGAUCUCAGAAAAUCGAAGAGGCGUUUGCUUUCUCAAAAGCUGGGCUGCUCAAAGACCACGAAGGCCGAUCUCAGAAAUCGAAGAGGUUUGCUUUCUCAAAAAGCUGGGCUGCUCAGAGACCACGAGGGCCGAUCUCAGAAAUCGAAGAGGUUUGCUUUCUCAAAAGCUGGGCUGCUCAGAGACCACGAGGGCCGAUCUCAGAAAUCGAAGAGGUUUGCUUUCUCAAAAGCUGGGCUGCUCAGAGACCACGAGGGUCGAUCUCAGAAAUCGAAGAGGCACCUACUUUUCCAACCUUGUCAGCACCUGUCACACGCACACUCAGCUUUGCGGAAAUUAUGGGCAUUCUGUCGAAGAUUUCUGGCGAAGUAGAAAGCACAUGAAUCGUACUGUUCAAUCACCCACUUCCCACACGCAACAGUAGCUCAUGGGUACCACAUAUAACUUUGCCAAAGUUCUCUGACAAAGUUGAGACUACUUUUCCAGCCUUGUCAGCACCUGUCACACGCACACUCAGCUUUGCGGAAAAUUAUGGGCAUUCUGUCGAAGAUUUCUGGCGAAGUAGAAAGCACAUGAAUCGUACUGUUCAAUCACCCACUUCCCACACGCAACAGUAGCUCAUGGGUACCACAUAUAACUUUGCCAAAGUUCUCUGACAAAGUCGAGACACGUGAAGCUUGCAACUCUCACUACAUCGCUCUGACCAAGAAGGGUAAAAAGAAUAGCAAAGAAACAACACUAACAAAGUUUAGACACAUAAAUUUUGACAGCCUAGCUACCAUAUUAUUACCCACAAGGGUAAAGGAACAGUACCACUGCUGGAUAAUUGGAAAGUCCCGGUGUGUCAACCUCUGUGCUUCAUGGCAAGGUAGACUAGCAAACAUGCCCAACCUUUACUCACAUUCGAGAAAAACACUCCCAACAAGAUUGCUUGCCCCAAAAUCGAAGAGGCAUCGCCCUCCGAAUCUCGAGAGCCAGACUCCCAACAUGAUUACUUUCUCAAAAAUCGAAUAGAGGGUAAAGGAACAGUACCACUGCUAGAUAAUUUGAAAGUCCUUGUGUGUCAUCCUCUGUGCUUCGUGGCAAGGUAGACUAGCAAACAUGCCCAACCUUUACUCACAUUCGAGAAAACACCCCCAACAAGAUUGCUUGCUCCAAAAUCGAAGAGGCACCGCCCUCCGAAUCUCGAGAGCCAGACUCCUAACAUGAUUACUUUCUCAAAAAAAUCGAAGAGAGGGUAAAGGAACAGUACCAAUGCUGGAUAAUUGGAAAGUCCCUGUGUGUCAACCUCUGUGCUUCGUGGCAAGGUAGACUAGCAAACAUGCCCAACCUUUACUCAUAUUCGAGAAAACACUCCCAACUCCCAACAUGAUUACUUUCUCAAAAAUCGAAGACACCGCUCUCCGAAUCUCGAGAGCCAGACCCCCAGCAUGAUUGCUUUCUCAAAAAUCGAAGACACCGCUCUCCGAAUCUCGAGAGCCAGACCCCCAGCAUGAUUGCUUUCUCAAAAAUCGAAGAGGCAUCGUUCUCCGAAUCUCGAGAGCCAGAUCCCCGACAGGAUUGCUUGUUCGAAAACCGAAGAGGCACCACUUUCCCAACUUCAAGAGCCGGAUCUCCUUGGAUAAAGCUUGUCUGUAAUCUUCACACGCAACAUCAGCUUUCCAGAUACCACAGACCACUUUUUCAAAGUGCUCUGACAGAGUUAAAAACUUGUGAAGCUGGCAGCUCCCACUACCGUGCUAUGACCAAGCAGGGUAAAGGAAUAGCAUUAUUACUUGAUGUUAGGGAGACUCCUAUAUAUGUCGACCUCCAUCCCCAACGGACAGGCAGACCUGCAAAAAUGCUCAACCCUUCCUCUUAUCUGAGAGGGCACUCCCAACGAAGCCUUUCAAAAUAUUCAGCUUUCUUUCCCCCCGAUAAUACCUCUGUAAACAAGCUAUAUACUAGAGCAAGAAUAUCUCAUAUCAUCAGGGUUAAAAGUAAGAGUAUCCCAUAUCAUGCUUUUUCCCUGUCUUUUCCUUUGGCCUUGUUCUUACCUGCAAGACAAUGAGAAAGAGAGCAAUCAGUCAGCACUUGGAAUCAAGCUUCCAGCCAGGAACUGACUGCCUGGAACCCCUUACCCUGGCAUUGCUCUCGAGUACUCAUCUUCAACAUCUUAUGCUUCCAAGGAAGAUAUCGCAUCUGCCUGAGGAUAGGGCAAGUGAGAAGGAUACAAGGAAGCAUGUGGAGACAAGCGUAACAGCACACGUGCCGAUACAUCCACUACUCUGUCAAAAGAAAAAGUAUCCCAUAUCAGCAGGGUCGAACGUACUCUAGAUUUGAUGGACUUGUUUUGACCCUCAAAUUCUUCAGUCGGCCUUAUACUUUGGAGGAAACCAGAAAACCCUCCAGGCCAGUUCAAGAAUAAGCCUGUGGAAAGUUACUUCUUCAAAAGCAAAAGUAUCCCAUAUCAUCUCUUCUCAUUUUUCUUCUCUUUAUCCUUCAUGCUGCCUGCAAGAUAGGGAGAAUGUGAACAAUCAGCCGGAGCUCUGAUUGCUUACCUUGUCUGUUACCUCCUUCAGCAGAUCCCUCCCCUAGCUCGGCGACUUGGGGGACUCCUACUACAUGGUUUGUAUCGCGCUUGACCAAGCCUGAAACUACAAGUAAGCUUCAAGUGACAUUGAUACAUUACCUUGUGCAUCUCCACCAGUUACAGAUACCACCCUUGGAUGGAGGAAGAGUACUUCCAGAGAAGAUUCCACAUCUACCUAUGAGACAGAUAAGGAAAGUCAAGCCGAUACCACACUCCGGGACUUAGAAGUUUCGUGGUUACGAGAUCAUUCUCCCACAAUAUUUCCUAAUGUCAUUUGUACUAAAUCAUUCACUUGUACUCCCUAAAGGAGAGCUUGAACCUAUGUACUUGUGUGUAAACCCUUCACAAUUAAUGAGAACUCCUCUAUUCCGUGGACGUAGCCAAUCUGGGUGAAUCACGUACAUCUUGUGUUUGCUUUCCUAUCUCUAUCCAUUUAUAUACUUAUCCACACUAAUGACCGGAGCAAUCUAGCGAAGAUCACAAAAAGUGACCGUUUUCGCUACCUAGGAUCUAUCUUGCAAGAGAACGGAGAAUUAGAUGGAGAUCUCAACCAUAGAAUACAAGCUGGAUGGAUGAAGUGUAAGAGUGUAUCCGGCAUGUUGUGUGAUCGUCGUAGGCCACUGAAGCUCAAGGGAAAAUUUUAUAGGACGGCAAUAAGGCCAACGAUGUUGUAUGGCACAGAAUGUUGGGCGGUGAAGCAUCAACAUGUACACAAAAUGGGUGUAGCGGAGAUGAGGAUGCUUCGUGGGAUGUAUGGGCACACGAGAAAUGAUAAGAUUGGGAAUGAGGAUAUCCAAGGUAAAGUAGGAAUAGCCAAAAUUGAAGGAAAUAUGAGAGAAAAUCGGUUCCGGUGGUUUGGACAUGUGCAAAGAAGGCCUACUGACGCUCCGGUUCGAAAAUGUGACUACGGGACAGAAGUUCAGGGCCGAAGGGGUAGAGGAAGACCUAGGAAAACUUUGGAAGAGACCCUAAGAAAAGACUUGAUUACUUGGAUCUAACGGAGGACAUGACACAAAACCGAGCGCAAUGGCGUUCUAGGAUUCAUAUAGCCGACCCCACUUAGUGGGAAAAGGCUUUGUUGUUGUUGUUGUAUUUUUUUUUCCUAUAACUUCCUAGGCCAUUUAUACAACAUUAAAUUAAAUUAAGUAACAUGAAGCAACAUUAAAUAACAUUAACCAACGAUCAACAUGAUGUCAGCUACCAACGGCUAGCUGACGUCAUGUUGUUGUCACUUAGCCGUUGGAUUUGAAUUUAAAUUGUAGUUUUUAAAUAAUAAAUUAUGUUUGGCCCUCGGUUGGAGACGGUUUUUUGUGACAGGGCUAAAACGAGCCUUCUGGCCCUUUGGCCCUUGGUUGGAGACGAAGGCAAAUAUGACCUUGUACUGUUCAUUAAAAUAUUAAUAUCUUAGAGAAUCUUGGAGGGCCAGAGGGCUAAAACGAGCCCUUUAGCCAGUCCUCGGUUAAAGAUGGCCUUAAUCCUCCAUUUAAUUCAUUAUGGGCUAGGUUUUCUUUCUAUUGGGAUAAUUUUGGGAAUUUAUUUUUGUCCACGUUGGGCUCUGUAAUUCAGCUCAUGUAAAAUUAGGAGUCUUUGUCCUUAUGGUUGAUUUUGAGGUGAUUUUGGUUAAAAAAAGUAGAGAAUAAUUUUUGGUUAGAAUAGUCUUAGUCCAGGCCAUUUUCAUUAAAACUCCCUUUGUAGUGUUAAGAGUGUGAAUUGCACAUGAAAAUUAAAGGGACCUUAAAUGUACUUAUAAGGAUGUAAAUUUGCUUUGGAACUUCAACUUAUUUUUUGGUAUGAGAGAUUAAACCUGAGUCUUGAGCUCAACGACACGUACUUCCAUAUCAUUUAAUAUUGUUAUUCACAUGGUAGGCUAAACGAUGUCACAUGUGAAAAACGUUUUGAAACUUGAGAAUGUGAAUCUCAAGUCAAAAAAUUAAACUGAGGUGGAAAAUUAAACAAGCGAGUGGACAUAAUAACAUUCUUUAUAAAACCCCAACCGUUCAACCUAAAGCCCACGAAUAAACCCAUGAUUCAUAUAAAAUUAAAAGCCCAACCCAAUUUAACCAAAAAUUCCAAGAUAUGAAAAAGAUGUAGAACUAGGUCCGCAUCGCAAGCGUUGAUCCAUGGACCAAAUAGAAACAGCAUAGCAUAUGUGUGAUAUAAGAUCCAACACAAACACUCGCUCAAUCUCAACCGUUCAUCACAGACCUCAUUAAAUCAUCUCGAUCAUUAUUAACUGGAUGGUCCAUUUUACCCUUCUCAGCAUAUGAGAUGAGGUCCGCUUACUGAGCUCUCCUUCAUUUCCCACCUGAGCAUUCUCGCUUCUUCUCCCCCAAUCUCGUUCUCGUCGAUUACCUGAUUCGGCGACGCAUCGCGUUUCGUCCGCCGCAGCUCCACCAUGGUACGCAACCGACAUCUCAAUUCGUCCACAUUUUUUUAUGAUUUUUUUUUUUCAGGCUUAUUAUUCACCUCCCUAGGUUUAACUCUGAUUCAACUUCGCUUUCAUGUUGUGUCAGUCCGUGAUGGUUUUGUAUGUUAAUUUUCUCUGAAAUGUUUGGUUUUAGUAGAUCUGAUAUGGGGUUUUCUGCGUUUUCUGUUUCUGUUAUCUGUUUGUUUGGUGGAAAAAUUGAGGAAGAUAGCUGGAAAGGGAUAGAAAAUCGAAUUUUGAAUAGCUGGUUAGGUUUUCACCGAAACAGACAAUUCUGGAUGCCCUCAGACAGAAGCCAGGUUCACCUGCCCAAUGCCAAUGAUACGCAGAGCUAGCUUUGAUACGUAUUGGAGUUAUCAUUCGCUAAGCCCGUCUUUUCUAAGGCUUGAUUGGAGAAAGGUUCUGACUUUAGGCUUCAAAUGGAUUGCGAGUAUUUCGGUCUACAUUAUUUACCACCUCCAUCGUUAACAUUUUUGUUCGGAUAAAAGCCGCGUGGGGACUAUCGGGGAAGUCCUCUUAGGUUUAUUGGGUUAAUUCAAUGUGGGUCAAGGUUCAAUUUUGUGUGAGACUAUCCUCCAGGUCAAACACGUGUAGCUUGGUGUAGGCAAAUUAAAAGGGAACACAUAUAUGGUUAAGAUGUUCUAGGAAUGAUGAAUUGAGGUUGUACAAGCUGCAUUUCAAUCUUAUAACACAUGUACUCGUAUUGCCUUCUUCAUGAAAUGUAGAAUCUUUAAGAAAUGAAUGUUGCGGAUAUGCCACAGCUUUGUUAUAGUACCAAUGUUACACCAUGGUUCUGGUUGUGUAAUUUGAUGUUGGAUUUUUCAUGCAUGUUUCUGUGAAGUUGUUUCAUGUCAACUGUAUUUUGUUUUUCUUGUUAGCUCUGAAGAGUAGAUGUUAUAGGCAUAGGUCACUCUGGAGAAAUAAACUGCGUCUGACUUCUUGUUAAUUUGUAGGCACCCAUCAAGGGUAUACUUUCUCUGCAGAGAGCAGCUUUAGCUCGUCAUCAUGGUGCAAAGUGGGGCCUAGCGUUUAGAUCAUUCAGCACUCAGGGAGCAGCACCCUCUACUACUGCUCAACCUCCACCUCCGCCACCUCCCGAGAAAACUCAUUUUGGUGGUUUGAAAGAUGAAGACCGGAUUUUCACUAACUUAUAUGGGUUGCACGACCCAUUUCUCAAGGGUGCCAUGAAACGAGGUGACUGGUACCGAACCAAAGAUCUAGUUAUUAAAGGUGCUGAUUGGAUUGUCAAUGAAAUGAAGAAGUCUGGCCUACGUGGACGUGGUGGUGCUGGUUUCCCAUCUGGUCUCAAAUGGUCUUUUAUGCCAAAAGUAUCCGAUGGCCGUCCUUCCUAUCUUGUCGUCAAUGCUGAUGAAAGUGAACCUGGAACCUGUAAGGACAGGGAAAUUAUGCGCCAUGACCCACACAAACUUUUAGAAGGUUGCUUGAUUGCUGGUGUUGGGAUGAGGGCCAGUGCUGCUUACAUCUAUAUAAGAGGUGAAUAUGUAAAUGAACGGUUAAACCUUGUAAAAGCUAGAAAUGAAGCUUAUGCAGCUGGAUUACUGGGGAAAAAUGCUUGUGGAUCUGGUUAUGAUUUUGAUGUUCAUAUCCACUUUGGUGCUGGUGCCUAUAUUUGUGGUGAAGAAACAGCGCUUCUGGAGAGCCUUGAAGGGAAACAGGGGAAGCCAAGAUUGAAGCCUCCUUUCCCUGCUAAUGCAGGAUUAUAUGGCUGUCCCACC